UGCUCUAUUUGUACAGGAGGUGAAUAUUUGAGACUGUCUUGAGCUUUCAAUUUUGAAUCUUCUUCAUUCCCAAAUUUGUUUAGUUGACCAUCUUAUUGUACAAUUAUAUGAUAUUAUUACAUAAGUACAGAUUUGGGACAGUGGUGGUGUUAUUUAGUCUAUGGAAACCUUUAACUUCCUCCCAUUUUAACCCUGUUUAUAAUUAUUCGCUAGAUUCACUUCAGAAAGUCUCACAUUGGGGGUAAGACAUGCAUUCCGUAAAAAAGGCGACUCUAAAUCCAGUAGGGCUCGAACGCGAGACUUCUGAUUAAGGAUCAAAGAGUACUACCACUCCACCACAAUGCUUGUUGGCAGUAGUCAUCUAACUGUCCAUAUUAUUAAAAAAAAAGGGAUAGUUGUCUUUUUCACGUUCUUAAAAAAAAAGAGAGACUUGUCCAUUGAUGACUGUUUAUCAUCAGAUUCAGGCGAAAUGGGACAUAUAUUGAUUCACAAUUUGGCAUUGAAACCUUCCAAUUGAAAAACUAGAAUCUUAUAUGAGAGAUUACAAACAAAAUAAGAUUCAUAACUAACAAAAAACAGGAAAAACAAAAACACACACAACACAUUAAAUUAAAAUAUGUCCAGAACCAGCAAUGAAAAAAAACCAGUAACAAGUUUGUUUAUUGGAAGCAGUAAUCAGAUGAAAUCAGAUGGAAGCGUCGCGUUGUAUCUUUCUUCAUUGUUGUUCUAUCCUUGAGUCCUUUGGGCAUUCUGCAAAUCAUAUAUAGUAUGGUUUAAAUUAAAUGAAGUAUAUAUGUAUGUAGGGGUAACGAUAUAAGAAUUAAUUUCCUCUUCUUCAGCCUCUUCUUCAUCUUCUUCUUCAGCUUCUUCUUCAGCCUCUUCUUCAUCUUCUUCUUCAUACACAUCUUCUAUAUGGACUUGAGGUCUGUCCUCUCCUGUGAAAGCUUCUACUUGUUUCUUAAUCUCAAUGGCUGAAUCUCCAAGCUCACGCUUAGUAUUAGUUAAAUGAAUGGACUUUAAAGUGUGUGUAUCUAUAAAUGCAGAAGGGAUCUCCGUAAGCUUGUAACAAUGUUCUAGUCUUAAUUCCUCAAGCUUGGGAAAGGUUUCCAUAUCAACUUGCCAUUCCGAAUGAUUGACCAUUCGCAUAGACAAAGUCUUAAGACUUUGAUAGAUGUCCUCACUUGCGUCCCACUUGUCCUCUACGAAUUCACAGUAAAUAAACUCCAGAAUUUCAAGCUCAGGCAAUGCCGCGAUUACUGACAACAAAUCAGGUCUCAGGGGAAAACCAUUCAACCGUAACUCUUUCAAGCUGUUAGGGAAGUAAUAUUCAUUGGGUUGUCGGAUUUUAUCAGGAUAUUCGGCAUUCUCGUACAUUGCAAUGAGUGAUUCAAGUUUAUUAAGGACAUCAAACUUGGGAAACCAAUCGCGGUGUGUAGGAGGAUCUAUCGGUUCCUUGAUGUAGCAAUGAAGGUGCUGAAGAUUUGGGAACUUCUCCAGAACAUCACUCGUGCUUCAGUAAAUGAGAUAUCAACUUUGGAUAAAGUUGUCAAGUCUUCUAACUUUGAAUUCUCAGCUUCCAAUAUUCUACUUGGUUGAUGCAUAAUAUUGUCCGCAUCCAUUUCCUCUUCCUCUUCAAAGAAAGAACUCCUGUCAAUUUUCACAUGUUUUAGCUUUGAUAGUUUGAAUACUAUGGGCAGUAAUACCAUGGUGGAAUAUUGUGUAUUGUCAAGAGUCCAAAGCUUUAAGAACCUCAAAUGAAAUAGGGAGCCUAUUUCUUCCAUUAAAAAAUCUUCCAGAAUAAUGCUAUCCAGUUGCAACACUCUAGCAAGUCCAAAGGGUCUUGUAUGGCAGAUAUAGCUGGAGUUAAGAAGUGAACCGCUAACUUUCAAAGAUAUGAGAUGCUUACUACCAGCUGAACACUUAUUAGAAUUGAACAAACCACAUUUUUUGUUAGACGAUGAUGUAGGAAAUCCAAAGCAUGAAAUCGAGCACCUGGAUUCAUUAACUUGAAAAACUUUGCCUUUUUAGAUUUUGCUGAACAAAAAUCGUGCACAACAUCAUGCACAUAGCAAACCUUGAUCCUAACAGAAAAAGGCAUACUCUUCUUGGAGGGGACUUGAUCCACCAUUAUCAGGCUACUGGAAACUAAAGCAUCCAAGUAACUUUGAGUUACUUCCUCUAAACUACUCUUGGAUCGGAUAUCAUGAUCCACAAACCCUUCGGCCAUCCACAACUGCUUUAACUUAGAGACCGGAGUUCGUUUGUUCUUUUGAGAUCUUGCAAAGUAAAGCAACAACGGCUUCAGGUGGCAUGGUAAAUGGUCAUAACUUAAUUGCAUAUCCUUCAUCAUUUGCAAAUUGAUGUUUGCAGAAAUAAAGGAAUCCAAAUUAUGUUGAAUCUUAAGCCACAAAUUCUUUUCCUUUUUCUUUCCUCUAACAAUUACUCCAGCAAUCAAAACAAUAGCCAAGGGAAGUCCUUUACAUUUCUUAACUAUUUGGUGUCCAACAUUUGACAGUUCAGCAGGGCAGCUUCCUUCUCCAAAUACCCUUUUUUCGAAUAGUUCCCAACUUUUUUCAGGUGUUAAAACUUGAAGGUUGAUAGGAUCAGUACGACAUUUAACUUGCGAACCUACCUUACUAAUUCGGCUAGUUAAAAUAACUCUAUCUCCUCUUUUAAGCUUUGGAAAACAUGCUAUUAACAUCUCCCCUGUUGCAAUAUCCCACACAUCAUCCAAGACGAUGAGGUACCUUUUAUUGUACAGCGCUCUUUGUAGCUUUUCAGCAAGGUCAUCCUCACUUCCUUUUUCAGAGCCAGUAACUUGCUGAAGAAUCUCCCGCAACACCUUUGACUUGUUAUACUUUUGGGAAACAGUCCACCAAGCACGAAUCUUGAAAUGACUAGCAACUAAUGUAUUGUUAUACACUUUGUUGGCCAGAGUAGUUUUACUGAGUCCUGGCAUUCCGACAAUAGAAAUGACAUCAAGCUCGGAUUCAUGUUCAUCAAGGAGCUGGUCAAUGAUCUGGGAUUCUUUCUCAUGAACUACUGUUACCUCAACAAAAGGUGAUGAGGUUAACUCAAUUGGCUCGAUGGAAGACUUUGCAUCAAGGGGGGUGAUCCCCAUUCUUAUCCUCCAGCCGUAAACCGGUGACUUCUGCCACGAUAAGCUUGAUCUUAUCAGUGAUCCUCGGAAGUGAGAAGAUUAAAUGGGAGAGAGCUUUAUCUCUGACAAGAAUGGAAUUAAUGACAUGUUCUGCCUCAUAUGCCACAUCUAAUGCACGCACCCAACAAUCUUUAACUACUCCACUAGUACUGUCAUCCAAUGUUUGCCUGAAAGAUGAUGUUAGGAAUUGAAGGCUUUCUUUCAUCAUCCCAAUUUCUUUUUUUUUGAGAGAAACUGCAUAGACAUUGGAAAUGAGCAAAUCAUUUAAAUGUCUGAGUAGAAGAUUCAUGAAGAGGAAACCAUCAUCCAUAGGAAAGCAAAGUUGAGAUAACUCUGGAGCUUUCAAAAAAAUGUCUAAUAUCUCGCUUCAUUUGUUCUAUUUCUUGCAACAAGUCUGAAGCUGAAAAGUCCGCUUCAUUGAUAUUAUUCUCAGAGCUCUCCUCCACCAGAAUAGAUAUCUUCCUAGCAAGUUGCCCAACAUGUGCCAACAUAUCAUUCAAUUUGUCAUGAUGGAUAAAUUGCUUUGGUAUAUCAGUGAGAAAGAUCAAUAGGAACUCUAUCAUGACAUUAAUGCUUUGAGUUGGAGCGUAAUUGACAGCUACUGCAUCUGCCAUGCGUCCAGGGCCGGCUCUUGCCUAUAAAAUUUUAGGCAUUGGCCUUAGGCCCCAAUUUUUGGGGGCCUCAAAUUUUUAUAAAUAAAAAAUUAUGUAUCUUAAUCCCAUUCAAAUAGAAGAAAUUAAGGAAACAUUGUCUUGGAUUCUUACAUUUUCUUCGUUAACACUCACAUUAUUUAUCCUUUGUAACUCUUUUUGCACUCUAUUUCUUCAAAUCUUUGAUAGUUAGAGUAAUACACUCUCAAAAAUAUGAAUCAAUAGUCGAAAAGUGUUGAACAAAGUGCAUUACAAAUUCUUUUUUUUAAUUUAUUUGUUAAUUUUCAUAUUAAAGUAGGUAUACCAAGUUAUCAACUUUCUGAAUCAAAUUCUAUGAUUCUAACUCUUAUAUUUAAAGUUUAUCAACUUAUUACUUAUAAAAUUGUGUUAAUAAUUCAUAUAAUAAUUGUCUCAAUAAAAGGAUGUUUUUCAAUGUUGAAUUGAUAAAAUCUUACUUAAAACUAAGGGAAAAUGUAUAAGUACCACCCCAGCCUAUGCCCGAAAUCCCAGAGACACACCUAACCUUUACUAAGGUCCUAUUACCCCCCCGAACUUAUUUUAUAUGUAAUAUUCUACCCCUUUUUGGCCUACGUGGCACUAUCUUGUGGGCCCAACGCAUGUUGACAAAAUUUUCAAGGAUAGUGACUUGUGCCACGAUAAGCUUGAUCUUAUCAGUGACACUGGAAGUGAGAAGAUGAGAUGCGAGAGAGCAUUAUCUCUGACAAGAAUGGAAUUAAUGACAUGUUCUGCCUCAUAUGCCACAUCUAAAGCACGCAACCAACAAUCUUUAACUACUCGGCUAGUGUCAUUCAAUGUUUGCCUGAAAGAUGAUCUAAGGAAUUCAAGGCUUUGUUUCACCAUCCCAAUUUCUUUCUUUAUGAGAGAAACUGAAUAAGCAUUGGAAAUGAGCAAAUCAUUUAAACGUCUGAGUAGAAGAUUCAUGAAGAGGAAACCAUCAUCCACAGGAAAGCGAAGUUGAGAUGACUUUGGAGCUUUCAAAAAAAUCUGUCUAAUAUCUCGCUUCAUUUGUUCUAUUUCUUGCAACAAGUCUGAAGCUGAAAAGUCCGCUUCAUUGAUAUUAUACUCAGAGCUCUCUUCCAACAGAAUAGAUAUCUUCCUUGUAAGUAGCCCAACAUGUGCCAACAUAUCAUUCAAUAUGUCAUGAUGGAUAAAUCGCUUUGGUAUAUCAGUGAGAAAGAUCAAUAGGAACUCUAUCAUGACAUUAAUUCUUUGAGUUGGAGCGUAAUUGACAGCUACUGCACCUGCCAUGCGUCCUUGGAGAAGAAUCAGAUAAUUUUGAAGAAUCCUUGGUGAUGCUUUCCGGAUUUGCUUAACAAACCGUUCUAGUUCAGUUGAUCUUGAUUCUUUGAUGAGCAGUAGAAAUGUAUAAACCUCCAGCUCAAGAGGGAUUAUGUCGAUGAGUAGAGAAGCAAUCUUGGAAGAGCAUUGAGAGACGUCGUCACACACCUCGUAACCAUCAUAAUAAUAUUCAGUCCAAAGAUCAAAACAGAAUUGUGUUACUCUAUCAGCAGUCAAUUGGUGCCAAAGGUAGAGAUAUUCAGUGUGUGCUUUGUUGGCCUUGAGGAUAGGAUAGAAAUCUCUCAGAUGUCGGAAUACUUGCUAUUAGCACGAUAGUUUGGUAGAUCAUGAAGGUGUCUGAAGAGAUAUUCAAACAUUUUCUCGUCAGUCGUCAUGGCUACAUAAUAAUCAUUCUCCAAAUUCAAAAAAUAACUUUUCAUCUCUUCCAGCAGCAGAGGGGCAAGACAUUCCAUGUCGCAUUUCGCUAGGUUUAAUUUAUCAUCUUCAUCUUGAUAGAAAAGUGAGCAACUAAGUUCAUAGAACUUGUCUAUUUUCUCGGACAUGCUGGAAUAAAAAUAAUCCAAACUCGGUUUCCCAAACAGAACAAAUGUUCUUAGGAAUCUCAACUCCAUUCUUAGCUUUUCAAUGUCAUCCAAUUUUGAUGAAGCAAUUAUUUUUUCAUUCUUUAUUUUCUUCAAGCCAUUUAAGAAAUCAUCAAUAUGACUGCUGAUUCUUCUUCUUUCUUCCUCAAAUGGAAGCUGCUAAAUUAAAAACCAAUCAUUAGUCGGGAUAUAUUAGUGACAAAUUUUGUUAUUUAGUUACACAAGUGUAGUAAGUAGUUUGUUUAUGUGAUGUAAUAUAAAGUUUAGGGAUGUAAGAUUCUUUUUAGUGAAUUUUAACAUUUUUUUUUUAUAUUAAACUUUUUUUUAGUAGCUUCUAUAGAUAAUUUAUUACUAAUGAGAAUGGGUGAUAUAAUUUUUAAAUUAAAUAAUGAAUUUGUUUUUGCUAAUAAUACUACCUCCGUCGACUUUUAUUUGUCAUGCGCUUUUCGAAAGUCAAUUUGACUAAUUUUAAAAAUUAAAUUAGAUUAAUUAAUUCGAUAUUUUAAACAAAAAUUUAGAUAUUCAAAAAAUAUACUAAAAGUACUAUAAAUUGCAAUUUUUUGCAUAUCAAUAUGAUGAAAAAUACAUCAUAAAAUGUUAGCUAAAAUUCUUAUAAUUUGAUUCUAAAAAGAAAACAAUGACAAUUAAAAAUGGAUCGAGGGAAUAGAAAAAAAAAAAAAAAAAGGGCAAAGUGCCCAAUUAAUUAAAUAAAUAAAAAGGAAAGGAAAAAGGGCAACUACCCAAUAGACCAAAGAAAAUAAAAAGAAAAGUUGAAAGACGUGAAACGUCAAACAACAUAAACGAAAAAAAAAAAAACAACAGUUCAACAAACGCAGUAGAAGAAUAGAAAAGAAAGAAAGAGAAAAUAAGAGGAGAAAAUAAAAGAGAAAAAGUGGAAACUUUAUCUCAAAGUGAUUCUUGUUCUUUUCACAAAAUUUUUAUACGAUUAUGAACAGAUUUUUAGGAUAGAAAGUGUAGAAUUUAUGCCUAAUUGAGAAAAAUAUAAUUCUAGGAUUUUUAGAACAAAAUCUUGAUUUGAGGGUCGAAUAACUAUUCGUUUUAACUAAAAUUUAUCAUGCGAGUUAUUUUAUUAUGAGUGAAAUAAUCCAAAGAAAAUUUCAGAUUUGAAUUCGAAGGCUCAGGGUGACUUUUUUCACCCAAUUUUGAGCCAAAAAAAAAUAAUAUAAUAAUAUGUGUGUCAUUCAAUUCGUAUUCUUACGAGAAUUAUAUAUCUGAACAGAUUUUGACCAUUCAAAAGCAUUACAAAAGGAUGAAUUGGUAAUUUAACUUUUGAACUUCAGUUUGAAGCAAGUAGAAAUUCCUUCCUUUCUUUGGAGUGUUAGUUUUAUGAAAUAUAUAAAUAUAAUGAUAACGAAUAAUAAGAGGGUCCUGUAUAAAUGUGAACAACCCGAACCGUCGUUAUUUAGGAGAAACAAAAAUUCGGGAAAAUUUGGCCAUUGUCCCGCCAUAGCGGGCCAGAUGCCGCUAGGGCGGCGGCGCCAAGGCGGGGUAAGCUAACGCCAGGGCGGGAUAGGCGAGGCAGAACGUAAAUUACGCGAAAUCCUAUUUUCCUCCUUCUUCCUAAAAUACCUAAAUAAGUCGUAAAACACCUUAGAAACCCCCAAAAAGCUGUUGCAAGCUUGGGAAGAAGGGAGAGAGAGAUUUCUAGCGUGAGGAUGAUGAUGUCUUAUGGAUUCUUGGCCAAAAUCACCGUCACGAAGCCCAAAAAACAAGAAUCGAAGUCAAUAACUCCGUGCAAUUGCUUGGCACCCAGGUAGGUUUUAUGAAUUGAGUAGUUUAAAUAUGUGCUUACUACGUAAUAUAUGUGAAUCGAUGGUUGGAUUUAUGCGUAGGACUUCGUGCACUGAAUGAUUAUUGAUUUAAACCCUAGAAAGAAGCCUUAGACGAUGAAUUAGGGCUGAGAAUGGUCGAAUUAGGGUUGCAUGAAGUGUGUUGAUAAAUAAUCCGUUGUGAGGGUGGUGAUUCCAUGAUUUAGUGAUGUAUGUUGUUCUUGCUUCAUUGUGAAACAUGUAGGUAUACGAAUGUUGCAUUGUUGAUCACACUUGUUGUAAAUAAGGAGAUGUGAAUGAUGAACGCUAUGAGUCAUGAAUUGUUUUACAUGAUUAUGAGGAUAAACUUGUGAUAUGUUGAAUGGAUCAGUUGCCACGUUCCGGCAUAACUAAUUGGGAUCGAUUGCCACGUUUCGACAUAACUUACUGGGAUCAAUUGCCACAUUCCGACAUAACUAACUGGGAUAAGUUGCCACGUUCCGACAUAACUAUAGGAUCGGUUGCCACGUCCUGGCAUAAUUAUGAGAUCGGGUACCACGUUCCGGUAUGCUAACUGUUUGGGUUUGGGUUCCAUGAGAGGACCAAUGAUGUGGCAAAAUUGUGUAUCUUGAGAAAUGUGAAGUUGUUCGUAAGUGUCGUUAAUAUUGUAUAUAUUUGAUAUGCACAUGUGAGUAUGUUGUUGUAUUGACUUACAUAUGUUGCACUCAUUAGGUACAUGUUACGACGACUUAGAUUUGAUGGUUCUUGUGUUGAGCGAGUUGUUUGGGUAUAGUGGAAGGGCAAGGUGUCCAAGGGGCGAAUAAUAGAUAGUAAGGGUUGUUCGUAUGUUGUAAUGGCGAGAAGUAGAGGCUAAGUAUGUGAUGAAAUAUGCUUAGGUGGAUUUCACCCUGGGGAAAGAGAUUGGGUUUAGCGGUAAGAAAGCUUGAUAUAAUGUAUCAUGUGACCAUGGUUGGGUAAUGUGACGAGGAAGUAAGGAUAUGACGUGAGAGGUUAGUUGAAAUACAACGUGGUGAUUUUUGAGGGAACGCUUAAUGUGUUAGAAUGGUUAGGCCAUGAUCAAGUAUCCAGUAAGUAAGUUGGUUGAGAAGGUAGUUAGUAGUCAGAGUACUAGUGAAAUUAGGAGGUACUUCAAGAAAAGGGUAGAGGUGGAGAAACGAGUGGUUUAUGUCAUGAUCUUACUAGUUGGUCCCUUAUGUUAUGUGGUGGGCUUCGGGUUGACCGAUUAUGCAUACCAGUAUGUGUGUUUUGUACUGAUACUACUCUUGCUAUGUCUUUUGACAUAGUCUGGAUCCAGGCCGGCGACGUUUCAUUAGGUGAAGACGAAGAAAUUCUCCAGCAGCAUCUAUCUUCCUUCUGCAUGGUGGGAGCUGUGUCUUUUGUUUAUCUUGUCCAGAUGUACUCUUAGUAGCUCUUGUAACUGUUUAGACUAGAUCCUUGAGAGUUGUUAAUUACUUUACAAGUUUAAUAAAAAAGAGUGCCUAAAGUUAUUGUACAAAAAAUCAUAUUAUUAUAUUUAUCUUUGUUUUCUUUUAACUUUCCGCAUGUUUAACUAUUGGAAUAUGAGGGUUCUCCUACUUAGGUGUUAGAUUGGGUGCCCACACGGCCCGGUGGGUUGGAUCGUGACAAAAUGAGAUAACGAACAUUUAUGUAGGUACGGAUGUUAUAAUAUGGGAAAAUUUACAUGAAAUUAAUUAUUGCUUGAUAGUAGCUGUAAGUUGUGAUAUGAUUGAAUCAUUGAAACUAGUGAAUUAUGUAAAUUUGAUUGUGAUUAAUGAUCCUUAAUUGUAGGGUCAAUUGAUGAACUCAUAUCAUAUGUUUUUUCAUACAUAUCCGUACCACUCUUAUUGUCGUAUGAUUAUUAUUGGUUGAUAUUAUUUAUUCAACUAUUUGUAAGAUUCGUAUUCUUAUCAUGCCAAUGAGAAAUUGUUCCAACAAGUGAUAUCAUGCAAAGCCGAUAGAAAAUAAUAUUGGCGAAAGGUAUUCAUGUACCAAUGAGAAAUGGUUUUGGCAAAUGUUAUUGUGCCGAUAAGAAAUGAUUCCGGCAGUUAAACAGAUCUCUUGAGUCCUCGACUAUCUGACAGAAGAAGCGGUGUAUACCAUUUCUUGGUCAGUGCAUUGCAUUACAUUUCAUCUAUAUUGCAUUUCAUAUAAAUUUGGCGUUGACUUGUUGAACUGAUUGUGAACUGAUUUGAUUUGAUAGAUUUGAGACAUCUUGUGAUAUCAUUGAUGGUGUAAUUGACAAUUUGGGAAAAAUAUAUGUUUUAAUUGUUAUGUUGAGGUGAUUUAUUUUAUGAUGUAAUUAUACUUUUAGAAAAAGAAACUUUUAGAACAUACCUCGUUAUUGCUUCUUAGAAGAGUUAGUAAUCAAAACUUGUUGAAUACACGUAUUUUUCGUACGGAUCACUCUAUACUUGUUACACCUUUUUUCAAGCAGGAACUGAGUCAGGUACUAGCGGUAUUUGAUUUGUUACUGCGACUGAGAUUGAUGGUUGUUGAAAUUUAGGGUGAAUUGAUUUCUCUUCUUUUUGUCUUAUUUCCUUCUAAACAAAUGCGUUUGUUUUCAUGUUUGUUUUGUAUUAAUAGAUGCCAUUGUACUAGUGUCACCAUGUCUAGGAAUAUUUUAUUUUAACUUAUCUAUACAAAUUUUGCAUUGUUAAAUGAUUAAUAGAGGGAUCAGGUUUGCUUACGGGGAUGGUAGGUGCCCUCACAAAUUAAUGAAAUUUUGGAUUGUGACAACAUGGUAUCAGAGCAUGGUUCAUAGGUCCCAUUAAGUACAAGAGCUGAGUCUAGUAGAGUCUUGCGGAUCAGUUCGUAGAUCUCCAUUACUUAUCUUUGAGAGACUAUAGGACUUUAAGAAACUUUCAUUCCUUAUCGUGCGUAUGCGGUUCACUUUAAUAUCUAAAUUCUUUGUUUUAUUCUCUCACCCAUUGUGAGGAUACGUAUCUAAUUUGUACGUAAGUUAUGAGAGAUGGUGUUACAUGGUGUGGUGCGAGGCGUUAUGAUUUGGUUAGCAGAAUGACCAAAUAAUAGGAAUUGCGAUAUUGAGGAUGUUAGCAUAGUAUGGAUGGUUCGUUUGAGGUGUAACAAUGAUGUUUUAAUUUUUCCAAUUUAUUGGGACAAUCUUAUGACACAAUAAUAUCAAUGAUAAGUUGACAGUUCAAUACUGGAAUUAUAUAAUAUGGAUGAUAUGAAUAAAAAUGUAAUCUUGGGAGGAUCAAUUGAUUAGAUAAGAAAAUAGUGAUUAUGAUCAGACUAAAAUGAGAAGUUGAGGAAUAGCAAAAAUAUGAGAGGUGAUAAGUUAUAAUGAAGUUAAGAUGGUAGGACUAGUUAUAAGAUGGGUAUGAAAGACUUUCUUACCUUUUGAGUGAAGGUAUACUAAGAAAAAUUCAAAUAGUUCGAGUUGGAUAACAUGAUAAUCACAAUGAUAAAGUUUCUUAUGAUGGGAGCCACUAUACGUAGACUAAAUAUAAUAAUGUAUGAGAUUAUGAAGCUAGUUGAGUGUCAACCAACAAGGACACUUUAAGUGGUGAUUAAAUGAUAGAUACUGACAUAUUUACCUGUGAGAUGUCUUUCCGAAGUUGAAUUGAGAAUCAACAAUAUUAGUUGAAACUAAUGAAAAACAUGAUUUGAUUUUGGAAAAAGAUACGUGUACAAAACUAUAUGAGAUUAUUCAUAGAGACAUGAGUAUAGUGGUAAAAGACCGGCUUACAAUUCAUGGACUAAUAUUGGUGGUUGGAAAUAUUAUAUCGACAAAUAACUAACUCUAUUGAAGUAACCAAGGUUUUUCCAAGUAUUGUUCAGUAUGCUCUCGAUCUUUUGUAGUUUUAUUUUGGUCAUUGAUCUACUUCUUUUUAUGUAUCUUUUUUGAAUUUGGAUAUAUUUUGUGACUCUCCUUCUAUUUUUGUACGUAUCUCGACACCCUUAGAUGAUUCUUAGUGGUGGAUUGAUUACAUCGAUUUCAAGUUAUUGAUUUGGUAGAACAAGACAUUUGGAUAGACUUCAUUACUUUGAAUAUGAUAGACUUCGACAUCAUGUUGAAUAUGGAUUGAAUUUUUUCCGUUUCAUGCAUUCAGACUAUUAUGUCAAGACAAAGAUCUCAGUUUUGUUAGGUAUUCCUAAAUUGAAGUUACAUGACACUCUAAGUAUCUAUCUAAGGAAAUAUAGUAUCAUCUUCAAAGGCUUAAUGUAUAUGGUUCUGAGACAUGGUUGUGACAAGUGUUAUGUGAAUUGAGAGAGAACAAGGAAUUAAAGAGGAUGUACCAUUUUGAGGAACGCAUCAUGCACUACGAUAAGUAUUAUAAUGUGAGGAACAUGUCAUACGCCGUGAUAAUUUCUAUUAUUGAGAGACGUGUCGCAUGCCGCGACAGAUGUAUGGACAAAUAUGUUCCCCACGGGUCCCAGACUGAGAGACAACGGGUAUGUAUCAUUAGGUCAGACAUGUAUCACCAUAUUUGGCAUUGCAUCUCAUUGUAUUGCAUAUCUUUAUCAUUGUGAACUUGUGAGUGCUUUUCUAUGGAACUUGUAAUUGAUAAAACUUUAUCAUAUGUAUUGUUGAUAUGAAAUUGUCGGAUAUUAUCGUUAAGCUAUGAGCUAUGUAGAUUAUGAACUGUUAGGUUGAGCUGAUUUUAGGCAAGUUGUAGUUGUGGAGGUUUGGUUGGAGUGUAAGGAGUAACCUUAUUCUAUAUUUUUAGAUUUGUUAUAGGAGUUUGCUUGCUGAGUAUCAUGUGGUUUGAUACUCACCUUUUGCUUCUAUAUUUGUGUAGGUUACAAGCCUGGAUCUUCGUGAUACUCUCUACCUCUUCUUGUCCAAGACUUUAUGUGGAGAUUUGUGAGGUAACUGUUUGUUAUCUCAGCAAACCUUCUUACUCCUAUUAUUUAUUUUAUUCUGCUUUAGAGACAAUAUCAUUUGAAACUUUCGUUUUCUUUCAAAUCUAUUAUAAUACAUUAGAGACUUGUGCACGUGACAACCAGGUUUUGAUGAUUUAGUUAAGUUGACGUGUUAUCCGUAUUAUUAUUAUUAUUAUUAUUAUUAUUAUUAUUUGUUAUUAAACUUUUAUUUAUACGUUAUUUCUGCACUUUAUCUUAAUGAUUGGGUUUUAGGCUGACUUGUCUUUGAUGGGAUAAGACGAGUGUCAUCACAUCUAUUUUGGGUCGUCACAUUCUAAUUCAACUCACAAAAUAUGAUAUAUAUUUAGUUAAUUAAAGUGGAUGAACAUGAAAAUAACAAUUUAUCUAUCGUGCACAGGAUUAAUAAAUAUAGGCAUGAUCGAGCGCAUAUUGUCAACGUGACGGAAGUAGAUCAUAUUUUUUAUACUUUUAUGGAGUUUGUAGAAUUAGAUAUUUUAAUUCCUUAUGAUUAGGUUCAUCUUAAUUAGAUGAUAUUUUUAAAAUAUAAAUAUUUUAAUUGUUGAGUUUAAAUUUAUUUACAUUUUGCCGACAAUCCUUUUCAAGAGUCAAUGGUCACAAAUAUUUUAAUGGAUACCGUUAGCUUUAUUUUUACUAUUUUUGACCUUUUUGUUAAGUGCAAGUUUUAAAAUGAAUUUUAACCAUAAAUUAUUUUAUGAUCCACAUGACAUUAAUCUAAGAGGUAAUUGAACUUGUGGGAAUAGUAGUACUUGACUGAAUCUUUUUCCCGCAAAAUGAAUAUAUAUGCCUCUAUAUAUUUGAAUAGGCGUUAACAUUGCCAUGUAAAACAUACCAAUAGUAUUGUUACAAAAACAUGUAAAACUAGUAAUUGCUAGAGAAGUAACCAGCUUAAUCACUACUCCUAAUUCCAUUCCUUUUUAGUUGUCAUAGUUUUCUUUUUAAGACUCAAACGAUAUAGAUUUUGACCAAUAUUUUAAGUUGUAUUUUUUCAUCAUAUUGAUAUGAAAAAAAUUGCAAUUUAUAGUACUUUCGGCAUAGUUUUUGAAUAUCUAAAACUUUAUUUUAAAUAUUGAAUGAAUAUAAUCUAAUUUAGCUAUGAAAAUUAGUCAAAUUAACUCUCGAAAAACAUAACAUGACGAAAAAAACGAAGAAAGUAUUAAUUUGGAGCAUGUAAAAGUAUUAGUACACAUACCGAUGACCUUCCUUUUUCCAUUUAAUCUCUAACGUCGAACCAGCCUUCAAUUUCUAGAGAUUUGAUGUUUCAACUAAUCACAUGCACAUUUAAUAAGGAUAAAAAUUAGAAAUGCAAGUAAAAGGAACGGCAACAAGCAAGAAUUGUGAAUGUAAACUAUUAAAUUUAUAGGUUUUGAAUUAUUAAAAUGAUAUAUAUGUAAAUAAUAAUUCAGAAUAAAUACAUGAUAAUUUUUUUAGAGAAAAUGUUCUCUAAAAUUUUUGACCAACCAAAAUGAGAAAAUUGAAAAACAGUUUAGAGAGGGAAGAGAAGAGGGUCGGAGACUAAUCUUGAUGCUAGGAAAUAAACUCUUUCAACUACUAUAUAUUGAUGCUUAAUUAUCGACAAUUGCGCUCUAUCGGUGAAAAUCUCCUACUUCACAACAGGAGAUCGUAUCGGGUAAGAAAGUAGGCUCACUAUAUCCAUUAUACUCUUACUAAAGUACAUUUGAUCUUCUUUGUCUCGAACCCAUACCCCUAUAAUAAUGGUAGAGUCAGGGGUAGCCCCAAAGCGAAAUUGACCAGUAGUGCUUGGUCGAAGCUCCAGUAGGUCCUUCAACCUUAAGAUUGUAAGCAAAGAUGACAGAAACUCCUACAUAUCAUUCUGUAUAUCCAACAUAUACAUUCUAUAAUUAUCAAGUCAAAAAUAUAAACCAUUUUGCUGUUUCUUAUGUAUGUAUGUAAUCCACAAAUAAAUACAAAAAGGGAAUAUUACUCUCUCUGCCUUUGUAUUCAAAUAUUACAUGUAAAAAAAUGAAAUAAAAAGAAAAAUAGUUUACCUUUUUCUCUACUUCCAAGCUGUUAAAACCAUGAAAAUUAACUAGGAAAUGAUGAAUGUGAUAUAUUAUGAGAGAGCUCACAAUAAAACUUAAAUGCUAAUUAAGGCUACCUUGAAUCUAUAUGACUAUAUAGCCAUACAUACAAUAAGAAAAAAAUGACAAAAGGUUAAGUUGGUCAAUAGCUUACAAUACCAUGUUCUUACAAUUUUCUAUUUAUAUUAAAUUUUUUGAAAUAGUCAACUUUUUUUCUAUUUAGUCUAAUUGAUAAUAAGAAUUAAUUUCUUCAAAAAAAAGACUUACUAAUAGUUAGUUCUAUCAAGAAUUUUUAGAUAAAAAUUGUUCACAUUCCUAAAAAUCUCUCUUUUUUAUGGGUUUUUCACCCGGUGUCCGGAGUCUACAUUGAAGCAUUGCACAGCAUUGCAAGAGCUCAUUUGGGGUUGACGCUCCCAACAACAUUUUCUUUAUUUCGAACCCUCUGUUUAAGGUGAAAAAGCCCCAUAUUCCUAAAAAUCUCUCCAUUAUUAGUCAACUAAACAGACAAUAGAUCUGCCAAUAAAAUAAAGGACCCAUUUGGUUAUAAAAAUUAUUUAUUUAUUUAAUUUAAAUGUUAGUGUAAAUCUACGAUGAAAUGCCUCCUAAAUUAACCCGGAAAUGUCAACUGACAAAUGCUUAUUCUGUUAUUCACUUGCAAAUAUAUUUAUGGAGACUGUCAGCUAUCAUUUCGAUAUUCGAGUUGACAGACUUGGUUUUAAUUAAUGAUUCAAAAUAAUUAUAAACUUAAAUUAAUCAAAUUUAGAUCUAGACUUUGAUUAGACUAAUUGAAUGUUCACGUUAAGGCUGCAAAUAUAAAUAAAAAAUUACUUAUAUUAAGUACUCAUAUAAUAUUAUUUUUAUACUAGGUAACAAGUUUGUUCAUUGGAAGUAGUAAUCAGAUAAAACCAGAUGGAAGUUGCGUUGUUUCUUUCUUCAUUGUUGUUCUAUCCUUGUGUCCUUUGUGCAUUCUGCAAAUUAUAUAUCAUAUAUCAUCAUAUCACAUAUUACUAUAAGUGGGAAGCUUAACCCCAAAGUUGAUUUACCGGUUUUGACCUUACAGUAUUACUUAAAUAUUAAUUUAGUAAAAAUUAAAUUUGCUGAUAAUCUCAGCCCUAAUUAAAUUCUCCAGAAACUUAUAGUUGCUGCUCAGCCUCUUCGAUCACUGUACCAGAAACCGUAUAGUUGCUGGUUGCUGCUCAACCUCCUUGAUCAGUGCGACAGUUCUUUUCCGACGCUCAAGUUCCAUUGCUUUAAUUAGCAGCUCAUUCAAAACCUUUUCACAUUCUUGGAUCAUCUAUAUAAAUGUCUCCAACAAUGUGUCAUUGUCCAAUAAUUGGUUUUUCUUUUCUCUGCCUCAAUCAAAUACAUCAUUGUCAAGUAAAAAAAAAUUCUCCUCUUUAUUUAUCAAGAGCUGCUCUAUUUUCCCUGUUUACUGUGCAUGUCUUUAUCUGGCUUAUUUCGUUUCAUUCUCUUUAUCAUGAGUCGCUCUGUUCUUGAUAUUGUUAUUUUUGUGAAAGUGUUGGAAUUUUGCGAAUGUUCGGAAGUGAUGGCAUGCUGGGAAGUGGAAUAUUGGCAGGCAUUUGAGGUGGCUGCUGUUGGUAAAUUGGGAAUAGUCGGUAUUAGCUGUUGGAAGUGUUGGCAAAGAUGUAAUGCUUGGCAAUGGUGGCAAUGUGGCUGCUGUUGGUAAAUUAGGAAUAAUGGGUAAUUGUGGCAUUGUUGGCUGAGGCAACAAGGGGAUCGUUGGCAAGUUUGGAAGUUGCAGUAGGCUAUAACCAACAUGACUUGUGGUGAUGUUUGGUCAUGUCUGGUAUUUAAGUCGAGAAGGGAAGAGGGAUAGGGCUAUUUUUCACCGAGUUUCGAACUAUGUGCCUAUUUGCCUUUGGGAAUUCUCAGUUUUCAUCCUAUGCUACCAAAAGAUUCAAACUCAGUAUACUUUUUUGCAGAUUUGACUUGUGAAAGGUGUUAUCUUUAGAUUCUAAUGUGAUACCUAAAUUAGAUUUCUUAGACAAGUAUUUAGCGGUCAUACAAAAUGUGGUUAAAGCUAGAGUGCAAUGAAUUUGCCCCCUGUGCUUUGGCAGUGGUCAAAGUCUGGUAUUUUAGUUGAGUUGGGCAGAGGGAUGGGCCUAUUUUCCACGGAGUUUUGAACUAUGUGCCUAUUGACCUUUGGGAAUUUGUCAGUUUUUAAGGGAAAAAAGACUGAAUUGUUUUCAUCCUAUGAUACCAAAGAAUCAAACUCAGUAUACUCAGAAAGGCAGGAUUUACCCUGCCUUUCUGUACUAUAUGUAUGAAUAAUCGAAGUAAGAGUGAUUAAAUGUUGUGUUUGAGACUUCCUUCACAUAGCAUUGGAAUUCGCCUUUUCCUUUGUUAAGAUGUUAGAACACAACCUUGCUGGUUCACCGCUUGGUCAUUAUCAAAUUAAACUGUGAGCAACUGUUCUAAAGCUGGAGUCUUUGUUGGGAACCUAGGACCCUUUAUUGUUUUGUCUCAAUUGUUGUAAUAUAUUGGAAUACUCAGCUUUUCUUGGCUACUUCUAUGCAUAAACGUGCAAGUGGUGUAUAAUCUGUUUAAAUGUUUUCACAACUUGGCCUUUGGAGGUAUGUAAAGAGUACAAAAAGUAGGACUUGUGUAAAUCUACAUAAUAAAGGAGUUUAACAAGUCCAUAAACUCUGUCCAGUUAGUUACAAUAAUCAUUUAGGGAUUCUUUUCUAGCUGUCAUUUCCCGGGAGAAAAGGUUGUCGUGAGAUUUGAACUUGCUGAUCCCAAAGCUCAAAAGCGAGUAGUUGCAGUGCUUCACGAGCUCCUUAGUUUGACUAUGGAAAAGAGGUUGACAUCUGCUCAAAUAGAUGCAUUUCAUUCCGAGUUACAGUUAGGUAUAUUCUACAUCACUAAUAAAGGUGUCAGGAGUAAAAUGAUACUUAAAGAGGCUUAUGAUGGGUCUAAUUUGAUCUGUAAAUGCCCUAUGUUAUUAUUUAGAGAUAAGUUUAUAGCACUUACAGUAGGAAAAGAUAUUGAUUCAUGUAUCAAUGCUCCGACUUAGUUUAUUUAAUGAAAACAGUGGUUGACACUGUAGUUUGUUCUUUUUACCCUGCUUCUCAUGGGUGUUGAUCAGUAUUGUUGCAGUGUUGUUCUUGUCAAGAAGGAUAUUUUGUGACUUAAUGUUGCAAUGAAUGAUCUGGUUCUCGCAGUCUUCAUGAAAGUAUAACAGGCCUCUGGCAAUGUCAAGUUCUAUGUCACUUCUUAGCUUCCAGCUUGGUCUUUGUCCAUCGCGAAAGAUCAAAUUUGACACAUCCCCAUUUUUCAAUAAUUCAUAAACAACAUGCCUGUUGCUUUUUUCAUUGCAGAAGCCUAACAAAUGAACCAGAUUUUUCUAAUGUGUUGGGCCUAUCACCCUUACUUCUGCCAAAAAUUCUUUAUCAUCACCUUGUUCAAUUCCAUUUCCUAAUUUCUUCACAGCAACUUCAACUUCCUCAUCCUCUAACUUGAGAAUUUCGCUAUAAACACCACCAGAAGCUCCUUGGCCUAAUUUAUUCUUGAGACCAUUGGUGGCUUCGUGCAGCUGCUGGAAUGAAAAUGCCCUUAAAUACAUCGCAAUUGCCGCCUUUAUUUCUUUCUUUCUUUCUUUUUGGAGAGGUUUUGGCAUCUCUAUAUUUCUUCAUAAAAGGGUGCUAAUAUAUAGCAAUUGCUGCAAAAAGCAGAGCAACUACUGACAAAACACCCUUUGAUGCAGAGUGCUUUUUGUUUUGAGUUAUCGAAGAGCUGCUAAUUUUUUAAGAAAUGCAACCAUGUUAUUUGUAUGAGGAUUAAUAACAUGAUAAUAUCUUGAGCUUUUCUUGAAAUUUUGUGGGUUGUGAGUAUUUUUUGUGAUUGUUGAUGUUAUAAUCAUUGUUAUGGUAAUUACUAAUAAAUUCUACUUCUACUUAUAUUUGUUGUUGUUAGUUACUAUGAUUAUGAUUCUUGAAUUGUUGUUGUGAGCUUUGUAAAUUUGGUGACUUUGGGUUCUUUUCUUGAUCUACUAUGAGUUGCUUGAAUUUUGGUCUUGUGGUGUAUUUGAGGUCUUAGUGGACUAUGGUGUUUUGCAAUUUUCAUGUUGUAAUUUAGAUAUAUGAUGUUAUUUUAAUUUUUUCUUAUUUAUUAUUAAUAUAUCAAGGGCAGGGGAAGGGGAAACGGAGGAGGGGAUUAUAAGGUGGUAAUCGAAUCCUGACUAAUAAGGUGAAUGUUCAGGUAGUCAACUAACCGAAGCUAGCUAUCAAGAUUCUGUACUUUAAGUUGAAAUUGUCUUAUGGACAAAAUUCCACUAUAGGUGAAAAUGAAGAAACUUGAUUUUGUGUCUUUUUUGGUACUAAUUUAUGACCUAUUUGAGGAACUGAACUAAUUUAUCGAAGUUUUCGUCUGUGAAAAUUUGUGAAAGAUGUUAAAUUGUUCUUGAAAUUUCGUAGUUCAAAGCAUAGUAAACUUGAUGAGCUCAUGAUUACAUGGAAAAUAAGUGUAUUUUUCUACUGAUUUUUUGGUUUGAUGAUGAUUUAUGUUAGGUGUUAAGAUACCUCUAGUGAAAUUGUGUGCCAAGUGGAACCAAGAUUUGAACUUUAUGAGUUCUAAGUUCUAAGAUAGCAACAUCAGGUGUUAGUAACUGUGUUCUGAAUUUAAUAUUUGUACAUGUUUAGUGAAUUUCUUAAUACAAAUUUAAGGGUUUGAACUUAAGCUACUGAAUUCGACUUCUAGCUCGCCCGUGAUUGUGUUCAUUUGCUUCCUCGAUGUUUUCCCGUUUCUCAUAAUUUUCCUGAUGAUGCCUUUUGUUUCCCAGGUUCUUCCAAAAAGUUGAAUUUUGCUACAGUUCAAGAAGUUUUGGAGUUCUUCUGAUUAUUUGUCAAAGUGCAAUAAAACUGAAACUCCGUAGGUAUUGUAUUUCUCAUUUCAACCUUUAAUUAACUAACCAUUUUAGCACUAUCUUUUUGAAUUAAGCUUUUUCCUACACGAUUUAACCGACCUUUGAGUCAUUACUAUGAUAACAACCAGUCGUAAUUAAGCUUCAACAUGAGCCUGGUGUUUGAGGUUGUAAGCAGGUAGAUCUUUUCCCGCAUGUGAACAAAUGAUGUACUUUUAUUUGAUGCACUGGUACUGAUUUGAGAAUGUAGAAUUCGUACUCGUUCGUGUGGUAUCUAUUUUACUGAUCUGGGAAUUUCAAAGCUGUUUCAAAGCAAUUACUGAUCUGGGAAUUCUCCGUAAUGUUAUAAACCAUUGGGGUUAGUUGUACCUACAGAGUGGAAAGCAAAUCAAAACCGAUACUUCGAUGUUAUUCAUUUUGGUUUCUGUGUGACUUGGUUUAGAAUUCGAGGGAAAUGAUUAAUGUAUAGCUUAAUAAAUUGAUAUUCAUCAUUGGCCAAUUGAUCUUGAAAGUACUGUCUCAGUACGAAAGAUUAUUUUCUCUUGUUCGAAAAAUCAUGUACUUUGUUAUACAUAUGCAAGUGAAUCAACUAACGACGACCAUCCAUUGAUUUAACACUCCCUGUUGUUUUAUCAAAGUCUAAAUCCGUACCCGACUUGUCUCCAAGCAACAUGAAGCCUCCAAAUUUCAAUCUUGAAUCAGAAGACGAGUCCGAGGUCAGCAACUGCCAAGUGGGUUCAAACAUAUCCGUCGAAAUUCAUCCUGGUCCUUCCUUAAUCUUCAGCAGGAAUCAGUUCCUGUUACUCUUGACUUGAUUCUUGGCUUCAACAGCUGUGACUCCGAGUUGAAAGCCAACGGAGAGGCGAGUGACGAAGUAGUACCCCAUCCUCCAACGGCAGCAUUAUCCAGAGUUUUCUCGUGCAAUUUCUGCAGGCGCAAGUUUUACAGCUCCCAGGCGUUGGGCGGACACCAGAACGCACAUAAGAGGGAGAGGACUUUAGCUAAGAGAGCCAUGCGGAUGGGAAUGUUAUCGGACAGGUACGCUAGCUUAGCAUCAUUGCCCCUUCACGGGGCUGCAUUUCGAUCUCUUGGCGUUGAAGCUCAUGCUUCCGCACACCAACGCAUCUCGCACCAAGAAACGCCUAUUCAUGNNNNNNNNNNNNNNNNNNNNNNNNNNNNNNNNNNNNNNNNNNNNNNNNNNNNNNNNNNNNNNNNNNNNNNNNNNNNNNNNNNNNNNNNNNNNNNNNNNNNNNNNNNNNNNNNNNNNNNNNNNNNNNNNNNNNNNNNNNNNNNNNNNNNNNNNNNNNNNNNUUUUUUUUUUUGCAUUCUAUUCUACUUUUUGUAUCAGAAUUUUCAUAAUUGUGGUAUUACAUUAGUGCUCUAUUUGUACAGGAGAUGAAUAUUUGAGACUGUCUUGAGCUUUCAAUUUUGAAUCUUUUUCAUUCCCAAAUUUGUUUAGUUGACCAUCUUAUUGUACAAUUAUAUGAUAUUAUUACAUAAGUACAGAUUUGGGACAGUGGUGAUGUUUUUUAGUUUAUGCAAACCUUGUAACUUCCUCCCAUUUUAACCCUGCUUAUUAUUAUUCACUAGAUUCACUUCAGAAAGUCUCACAUUGAGGUUAAGACAUACAUUCCCUAACAAAGACGACUCUAUAUCCAGUAGGGCUCGAACGCGAGGCCUCUAAUUAAGGAUAAAAGAGUACUACCACUCCACCACAAUGCUUGUUGGCAGUAGUCAUCUAACUGUCCAUAUUCUUUAAAAAAAAAGGGAUAGUAGCCUUUUUCAUGUUCUUAAAAAAAAGGGGGAAUUGUCCAUUGAUGACUGUUCUUCAUCAGAUUCAGGCCAAAUGGGACAUAUAUUGAUUCACAAUUUGGCAUUGACACCUUCCAAUUGAAAAACUAGAAUCUUAUAUGAGAGAUUACAUACGAAUUAAGAUUCAUAACUAGCAAAAAACAGGAAAGAAAACACACAACACAUUAAAUUAAAAUAUGUCCAGAACCAGCAAUGAAAAAAACCAGUAACAAGUUUGUUUAUUGGAAGCAGUAAUCAGAUGAAGUGAGACUGCAAAUGCAUUCGUUGCGUUGUUUCUUUCUUCAUUGUUGUUCUAUCCUUGAGCAUUCUGCAAAUUAUAUAUAGUAUGAUUUAAAUUAAAUGAAGUAUAUAUGUAUGUAGGGGUAAAGAUGUAAUAAAUUAAUUACCUCUGUUUCAUCCUCUUCCUCAGCUUCUAAUUCAUACAACACAUCUGAUAUAUGGAGUUGAAGUCUGUCCUCUCCUGCGAAAUCUACUAUCUGUUUCUUAAUCUCAAUGGCUGAAUCUUCAACCUCACGCUUAACAUUAGUUAAAUGAAUGGACUUUAAAGUGUGUAUAUCUAUAAAUGCACAAGGGAUCUCCGUAAGCUUGUAACAAUGUGCUAGUCUUAAUUCCUCAAGCUUGGGAAAGGUUUCCAUAUCAACUUGCCAUUCCGAAUGAUUGACCAUUCGCAUAGACAAAGUCUUAAGACUUUGAUAGAUGUCCUCACUUGCGUCCCACUUGUCCUCUACGAAUUCACAGUAAAUAAACUCCAGAAUUUCAAGCUCAGGCAAUGCCGCGAUUACUGACAACAAAUCAGGUCUCAGGGGAAAACCAUUCAACCGUAACUCUUUCAAGCUGUUAGGGAAGUAAUAUUCAUUGGGUUGUCCGAUUUUUUCUGUUAACUUGGGAUAGCCAACAUUCUCGUACAUUGCAAAGAGUGAUUCAAGUUUAUGAAGGACAUCAAACUUGGGAAACCAAUCACCCUGUGUAAGAGGAUCUAUCGGUUCCUUGAUGUGGCAAUGAAGGUGCUGAAGAUUCGGGAACUUCUCCAGAACACCACUCAUGGCUUCAGUAUAUGAGAUAUCAACUUCAGAUAAGGUUGUCAAGUCUUCUAACUUUGAAUUCUCAGCUUCCAAUAUUCUACUUGGUUCAUGCAUAAUAUCGUCCGCAUCCAUUUCCUCUUCCUCUUCAAAGAAAGAACUCCUGGCAAUUUUCACAUGUUUCAGCUUUGACAGUUUGAAUAUUAUGGGAAGUAAUACCAUGGUGGACAUUCCAGUAUUGAUGAACAGAGUUUCCAGAUUCUGGAGGUUCAACCACGACACUGGGAUAACUUUUACUGGAGUUCGAAUCCUUAAGAACCUCAAAUGAAAUAGGGAGCCUAUUUCUUCCACUAAAGAAUCGUCCAGAAUAAUGUUAUCCAGUUGCAAUACUCUAGCAAGUCCAAAGGAUCUUGUAUCGCAGAUAUAGCUGGGGUGACGAAGUGAACCGCUAACUUUCAAAGAUAUGAGAUGCUUACUAUCAGCUAAACACUUAUUAAAAUUGAACAAAACACAUUUUUUACUGUCGUCAGUAUGAAUGGUUAGACGAUGAUGUAGGACAUCCGUAGCAUGAAAUCGAGCACCUGGAUUCAUUAACUUGAGAAACUUUUCCUUUUUAGCUUUUUCUGAACAAAAAUCGUGCACAACAUCAUGCACAUAGCAAACCUUGAUCCUAACAGAAAAAGGCAUACUCUUCUUGGAGUGGGUUUGAUCCACCAUUAUCAGGCUACUGGAAAUUAAAGCAUCCAAGUAACUUUGAGUUGCUUCCUCUAAACUACCCUUGGAUGGGAUAUCAUAAUCCACAAACCCUUCGGCCAUCCACAACUUCUUUAACUUAGAGACCGGAGUUCUUUUGGUCUUUUGAGAUCUUGCGAAGUAAAGCAACAACGGCUUCAGGUGGCAUGGUAAAUGGUCAUAACUUAAUUGCAUAACCUUCAUCAUCUGCAAAUUGAUGUUGUCAGAAAUAAAGGAAUCCAAAUUAUGUUGAAUCUUAAGCCACAAAUUCUUUUCCUUUUUCUUUCCUCUAACAAUUACUCCAGCAAUCAAAACAACAGCCAAAGGAAGCCCUUUACAUUUCUCAACUAUUUGGUAUCCAACUUCUGACAGUUCAGCAGGGCAGCUUCCUUCUCCAAAUACCCUUUUUUCGAAUAGUUCCCAACUUUUUUCAGGUAGUUAAAACUUGGAGGUCGAUAGGAUCAGUACGACAUUUAACUUGCGAACCUACCUUACUAAUUCGGCUAGUUAAAAUAACUCUAUCUCCUCUCUUAAGCUUUGGAAAACAUGCUAUUAACAUCUCCCUUGUUGCAAUAUCCCACACAUCAUCCAAGACGAUGAGGUACCUUUUAUCAUACAGUGCUCUUCGUAGCUCUUCAGCAAGGUCAUCUUCACUUCCUUUUUCUUCCGAGCCAGUAACUUGCUGAAGAAUCUCCUGCAACACCUUUGACUUGUUAUACUUUUGGGAAACGGUGCACCAAGCACGAAUCUUGAAAUGACUAGCAACUAAUGUAUUGUUAUACACUUUGUUGGCCAGAGUAGUUUUACCGAGUCCUGGCAUUCCGACAAUCGAAAUGACGUCAAGCUCGGAUUCAUGUUCAUCAAGGAGCUGGUCAAUGAUCUGGGCUUCUACUUCCUCAUGACCUACUGUUACCUCAACAAAAGAUGAUGAGGUUAACUCAAUUGGGUCGUCAGAAGACUUUGCAUCAAGGGGGUCAUCCCCAUUCUUAGCCUCCAGCUGUAAACUGGUGACUUCUGCCACGAUAAACUUGAUCUUAUCAAUGACAUCUGGAAGUGAGAAGAUGAGAUGCGAGAGAGCUUUAUCUCUGACAAGAAUGGAAUUAAUGACAUGUUCUGCCUCGUAUGCCACAUCUAAAGCACGCACCCAACAAUCUUUAACUACUCCACUAGUGUCAUUCAAUGUUUGCCUGACUUUCCCGAAAGAUGUUGUUAGGAAUUCAAGGCUUUCUUUCACCAUCCCAAUUUCUUUUUUUAUCAGAAAAACUGAAGAAGCAUUGGAAAUGAGCAAAUCAUUUAAAUGUCUGAGUAGAAGAUUCAUGAAGAGGAAACCAUCAUCCAUAGGAAAGCAAAGUUGAGAUGACUCUGGAGCUUUCAAAAAAAUCUGUCUACUAUCUCGCUUCAUUUGUUCAAUUUCUUGCAACAAGUCUGAAGCCGAAAAGUCCGCUUCAUUGAUAUUAGAGCUCUCCUCCAUGAGAAUAGAUAUAUUCCUUGUAAGUAGUGCGACAUGUGCCAACAUAUCGUUCAAUUUGUCAGGAUGGAUAAAGCGCUUUGGUAUAUCGGUGAGAAAGAUCAAUAGGAACUCGAUCAUGACAUUAAUACUUUGAGUUUGAGAGUAAUUGACAGCUACCAUGCGUCCUUGGAGAUGAAUGAGAUAAUUUUGAAGAAUCUUUGGAGAUGCUUUUAGGAUUUGCUUCACAAACCGUUUUAAUUGAGUUGACCUUGAUUCUUUCAUGAGCUUGAAAGUAGAAAUGUAUAGAACCUCCAGCUCAAGAGGGAUUAUGUCGAUGAGUAGAGAAGCAAUCUUGGAAGAGUACUCAUCAGCAUCAUAACUUGAUUUAUACUUUCCAGUCCAAAUAUAAAAAUAGAAUUGUAGAAAUGUAUGGGCGAUGAAUUGGAAGCGAGGAAAGAGAUAUUGAGUAGUAGUUGUUUUGUUGGCCAGGAGGAUAGGAUAGAAAUCUGUCAGACGACGGAAUACUUGGCGAAGAAUGUUUAUUUUCGUGGACAUCGGCCUGUAAGAAGUAAUGUUUGUUAGAUCAUGAAGGUUUGUGAAGAGGUAUUCAAACAUUUUCUCCUCUGUUAUCAUUGCUACAUAAUUAUCAUUCUUCAAACUCAAAUAACUUUGCAUCUCUUCCAGCAGCAGAGGGACAACACCAUCCAUGUUGUAUUUCUCUAGAAUUACUUCAUCAUUAAGUAGUCCCCGAGUCAUAACACUGAACUUGUUUAUUUUGUUGGACAUCCUCUCAUAAAAGUCAUCCAAACUUGAAUCCCCAAACAGGACAAAUGUUUUUAGGAAUCUCAGAUCCAUUCUUAGCUUUUUAAUGACAUACCAAUUUGAAUAAAAGAAUACUUCUUCUUCAUUCUUUAUUUUCUUCAAGCCAUUCAACAAAUCAUCAAUAAGAUUCCUGAUUCUUCUUCUUUUUUCCUCAAGUCGCAGCUCCUAAAUUAAAACAUAGUAAUACGUAAUUAUUAUUGUUGUCGUCAUUGUUUCAAUAGAGACAAUAAUUAAAGAAAUUGAAAAUUUAGUAAUUUUUUAUUUAUUGGCCACUUUUUUUUUUCUUAUUAAUAUAUUCAUUUUGUAUGAUACGACGACAUAUAUAUUGUAUUUUUUUUUAAUUGACUUGAUUGUAAAUGUUUCCCUUUAACUCUCAUUCUAUAUUUCAAUUUUUAUGAUUUUUUUAUUUUAAGAUUUUAAUUUUUUAUAAAUUAAUAGAACAUGUAAUAUUGGAUACAAGUUUUUUAUUGUACUGUACAAUUAUUCAUAUAUAUACAUAUAGUAAUCAUUAGUUUGUUAUUUUAUGGGAUUUUAUCAGCUCAAGUAUAUUAUCUACCCCCUUAGACAAUUUUAACAUAUCAUAUGAUGUUUUCAUUGUUUUAAUUUGUUACUAUGUUUAUUGAAUGUUGUUUAAAGAUUUUAGCAGAAGUAAUUUUUUUUAUAAGUAAUUGGAGCCAAACAUGCAACACACAUUCUCAAAAUAAUUGUUACAAAAAUAUGUAAAACUAAUAAUUGCUAGAAAAAUAAGUAUAAUUUAUAUGUAAAACUUAAUUACUACUAAUUUGGAGCAUGUAAAAUUUGUAUUGAUAGACAUACCAAUGACUUUCCUUCUUUUUCCAUUGAGUCUCCAACGUCGAACCAGCCUUCAAUUUCUAAAGAAUUGAUUUUUCAACUUAUGAUCACAUGCAUAUUUAAUUUGGAUAAAAGUUAGAAGAUAGUAAUCACAUGCACAAGUAAAAGGAAAUGCAAGAAGCAAGAGUUAAGAAUGUUAAUUAUUAAGUUUAUAGGUUUUGAAUUAUAAUUAUACCUAGUAAUUUACUGUUUUAAGUAAAUACAUGAAUUGGUGAAAGUAACAGAUAGCAUGUCAAAAUAUAUACUAUUUUACGUUGAUUAGACUUGAUAAGUUACUCAGAGUGGCGCACAAGUACACACACUAAUAAAUUUUCAAGAAUUUGGACCAUAAUGUAUACUCCAUUUAUUUCAUAUUAACUGAAUUUGUGAGACAAUGGACAUAUAUUAAGCAAAACAUUUUAAAACAUAAUUUAAAUCAUAAUUUCCAGUAUUAUCAUUUGAGAAAUCAUAAAUAUAACUUUGUAAGUAGUGUAAUUUAUCUCCUAGAAAAUAUAAAACUCCAAUAAAUAAAAGGGUAAAUAUGGAAAAAAAAAUCAAACAUCCUUUUUGAAUUUUGAACAAUUCAAUUAUUCUGAACAAUGAAAAAAAUCUAAAUUUUUUACUUAAUAUGAAAUGGAGGAAGUACUAGAGAGACGAGAUCUAAAUUUACACAAACCAUGAGUGUGUUUGGUAUGAAAGAAAUUAUUUUCUGAAAAUGUUUUUUUUUAACUAAUAAGUGGGUUUGUUAUUUUAUUUUUUAUGUGUGUUUGAUAUAUUUUCUAAAUAUUUAAGUAAUCGAACAUGAAAACAUUAAAAAAAUAUAAAUACUUCCUCUUGAACACACACUAUAUUAAAGUGUUUCCAAUAUCAUGAUAUAUUAAAAUCUUAAAUGUAGAACCAACCAAGAUAUAUAUCUAUAUAAACUACGUUAAAAGGUCUUCUUCAUAUCAUGAUUAGAGACCUUAAUUAAUCUCCCUUUACAAGCUUGGACCCUAUAUGGGUGUGAUUGGUACAAAGGGUUUCGUACUUACUAAACAUGAGAAAAUUGAAUGAAAAAAGUUGAAAAACAGUGUAAAAAGGAAAGGGAAGAGGGUUGGAGACUGAUCCUAAAUUAUCAGAUCAUUCUAUAUAUCCAACACACAUAUUCUAUAAUUAUCAAGUAAAAAAUAUAAAUCAUUUUUCUAAUUCUUAUUAUGUAUGUUUCUAUCAAAUCAAGUGAAUCACAAAAAUACAUGUAAAAUGAAAUAGAAAAAAAGAAAACUAGAAAAACAUUAUAUUAUACCUUUUUGUUUACUUCCAAGCUAAUAAUUCCUCUCAAUUGGUAGUUUGCCUUGUUGCAGAUUUACAACACUUAUAUUGAGAAAAUUGAGUCAGCAAAAGCAAGCAGCAAAUGUUGAAGAACCUAAUUCACUUAUUGUUAGAUCUGCAAAUGUGAACUUUCAAUUAGUUUAUCAAAAGUCUAGAUCUGAAAUAGAUUAGUUUAAGCCCCAAUUGAGGUGCUUAAGUGAAUUAUGCGGACAACUCUAAGUGGUUGUUGAUGACUUAAGCCAAUUAGUUUUCUAGUUCUUGUUAUGUAUGUUUCUUUCAAAUCAAGUGAAUAAAAAAAUACAUGUAAAAUGAAAACUAGAAAAACAUUAUAUUAUACCUUUUUGUUUACUUCCAAGCUAAUAAUUCCUCUCAAAUGGUAGUUUGCCUUGUUGCAGAUUUACAAGAAGCAAAUGCUGAAGAACCUAAUUCACUGAUUGUUAGAUCAGCAAAUGUGAACUGUCAAUUAGUUUAUCAAAAGUUUAGAUCUGAAAUAGAUUAGUUUAAGUUUACUAUCAAUUUGAAUUAUUAAAGCCAAGUCUUUCUAUAUAAUUUCCCACAGCCCAUUAAAAUAUUUGCUAGUGGAUCAUUGACAAAAAAAAUACUCCCUCCAUUCCAUUUUAUGUAGCAACAUUUGACCGGGCACGGAGUUUAAGAAAUAAAUGAAGGCUUUGAAAUGUUUAUCAAAUUACCCCUUUAAAAAAUAGUCAUAUUAAAAAGUAAGAGAAAAUGAUCAAAAUGGUCCUUAAUGUAUGGGCUUUGAUUCCAUUUGGUCCUUAAUAUAUGAACUUCAUGGAAAUGGUCCUUUAUGUAUCAUAAAUUGUGAUCAAUUUGAUCCUUAACCCUAAAAUUAAUAUUUUAUAUUUUUUUUUGCCAUCAAAAUACACGGAAUAUGUAAAAUAUGCGCUCGUUCAAGACUUUCCUUCCCCUGUUUCCAAAAUUUCCAAAAGGGCACAUACAAUUUUUUUUUCUUUUUUCUUUAAAAUCGCUGCUGUGAAUUUUUUUUUUUAACAACGCUGGCCCAGUAGCGUUUUAAAAAUAGAAAUAGCUGCUAUAGUAGCCAUUUUCUUAAAAAAGUUUAAAUUUUUUUUAACUAAAAAUUCCCAAGGCGAGGAUUGCUUAAAAAAAUAAUGGGAACACGGCAACGAUUUCAGUAGAAAAAAUUUCCCAAUUGAGUUACUUUAUAAUUUUUUAUUGUAUACUUUUUGAUUGCUAGCAGCAAUUGGAAAAUAAUAAAUUCUUACUGAAAUCGCUGCCUUGGCAGCGAUUAUUUUAAAUCAAAAAGUAUACAAUAAAAAAUUAUAAAGUAACUCAAUUGGGAAAUUAGCGAUUUCCCAUUAUUUUUUUAAGCAGUCCUCGCCUCGGGAAUUUUUAAUAAAAAAAAAUUUGAACUUUUUUAAGAAAAUGGCUGCUAUAGCAGCUAUUUCUAUUUUUUAAACGCUGCUGGGGAAGCGUUGUUAAAAAAAAAAUUCACAACAGCGAUUUCAAUGAAAAAAGAAUUUUUUUUUGGACUGGCAGCGAUUUUUAUGAUUUUUAAAGGAGUAACGGCGUCAAUUUUGUCAGAAGAAAAUCGCUCCGUCAGGAGCGAUUUUGCCCUUUUGGUUAAAAAAAAAUUGAUGUGCCAUUUUGGAAUUUUUGGAAACAGGGGAAGGAAAGUCUUGAACGAGCGCAUCUUUUACAUAUUCCGUGUAUUUUGACGGCAAAAAAAAAUGUAUAUAUAUUAAUUUUAGGGUUAAGGACCAAAUUGAUCACAAUUUAUGAUACAUAAAGGACUAUUUCCAUCAAGUUCAUAUAUUAAGGACCAAAUUGAAUCAAACCCAUACAUUAAGGACCAUUUUGAUCAUUUUCUCUAAAAAGUAAACUCACUUUUCUCUCUCCUCAUAAAUGUAUUGGAGUAUUAUCUUUAAGAUUAAGUGAGACCAACAAGGAUAAAAGAGGAAUUGUACCUUUAAAUACUUACCAUAUAAGGAAAUGUGACAUUCUUUUUGGAACUGACAAAAAAGGAAAUGGUGCCACAUAAAAUGGGACAGAGGGAGUAGGAGAUUUCAUUUUGUAUUCUGUUUUAAAUUUUAUGAUUAUUAAUUAAAAUAUUUUUAUUUUUACAUUUAAAAAGUCUGAAAGGUUAAUUUUUUUUUAAUUUCAAUUUAUAAUUUAUAAGUGAUAAUAAAGAAAUUUACAAGCUUGAAACGUUGAAACAAAAUCUGAAGUAUGUAUAUUUAAUUUGAUGCACUAUUAUUGUGAUGCUUCAAAUAAGAGUAUCAAGUCAGAAAAAUGUUAAGUAUUCAAUUAGUCCUAAUCAAGUAAGGAGAUAAGGAAAAAAAUGGCAUGCUGAUGUUAUUUAUUAUCUAUAUCUAUAUUAACUUAAAAUUAUGAACUCCUUAAUUACAUUAUAUGGAAAGCAAACACAUUUUUACAUUAAAGGGUUGUGACUUUUCUUAAGAGUUGCAACUUUUCUAAUAAAGUACAAUAAAUACAUGUUCAUACGAUCCUUUGUUGACUAUAAAUAAAGAGGAAAUUUCAAGAAUAGCUAAGACUAGAAACAUAAUUAGAAAAAAUAGUUAUAAUUUGUUUAAUUGUGAUUUGUAGCUACAUGUUAAAAGGGCAGAGAGACGAUUGGGAGAGCUAGGAGAGAGGGCAGAGCAAGGAGGGAGGCAAGCGAGAGCGAAAGAGAGGAGAGAGGAAAGUGAGAGCGAAAGGAGAGAAGCGAAUUGUAUUUGUAUAUCUGUUGGUUAAUUGUAUAUAAUGUAUAUGCAUGUAUCAAUGAUUGUAUUUGUAUACCCACUGGAGAAUUGUGAAGGAAAAUUUUGACACGAUUAUUUAUUUGUGUUACAUAUAUCACAUAUACAUAAUUUGAUAUACAAGUGCAACACACGUAUCGAAAAACUAUUAUAUUAAAAAGAAAAUCCUUAAACUGGUGAAGCUCAUGCUUCCGCACACCAACGUGUCUCGCACCAAGAAACACCUAUUCAUGCAAUUAGAAGUGGGGCGAGGUUCGAACAAGUCUAUUUUGGGAUGCCAGUAUUCGUGGAGGUGUUCUGGCCCGGUUGAGGGAAUUGGUGGAAAUAUGGGGUAUAAUUCAGGGCAAAGUUCAAACUUUCUAGCUGUAGCUCCUCAAACUAGGACAGAUCCAACAUUGCCUGAUCUUAUUUUGAAAUCUUAUGUUUUUUUUUUUUUUUUGCAUUCUAUUCUACUUUUUGUAUCAGAAUUUUCAUAAUUGUGGUAUUACAUUAGUGCUCUAUUUGUACAGGACGUGAAUAUUUGAGACUGUCUUGAGCUUUCAAUUGUGAAUCUUUUUCAUUCCCAAAUUUGUUUAGUUGACCACCUUAUGUACAAUUAUAUGAUGUUAUUCAAAAUAUAGAUUUGGGACUGUGGUGAUGUUUUUUAGUUUAUGCAAACCUUUAACUUCCUCCCAUUUUAACCUUGUUUAUAAUUAAUUGUUCGCUAGAUUCAUUUCACAAAGUCUCACAUUGAGGGUAAGACAUACAUUCCCUAACAAAAGGGACUCUAUAUCCAGUAGGGCUCGAACGCGAGACCUCUAAUUAAGGAUCAAAGAGUACUACCACUCCACCACAAUGCUUGUUGGCAGUAGUCAUCUAACUGUCCAUAUUCUUAAAAAAAAAAGGGAUAGUUGCCUUUUUCAUGUUCUUAAAAAAAAAGGGGGAAUUGUUCAUUGAUGACUAUUCUUCAUCAGAUUCAGGCCAAAUGGGACAUAUAUUGAUUCACAAUUUGGCAUUGAAACCUUCCAAUUGAAAAACUAGAAUCUUAUAUGAGAGAUCACAGACGAAAUAAGAUUCAUAACUAACAAAAAACAGGAAAGAAAGCACACAACACAUUAAAUUAAAAUAUGUCCAGUGCCAGCAAUGAAAAAAACCAGUAACAAGUUUGUUUAUUUGAAGCAGUAAUCAGAUGAACUGAGACUGCAAAUGCAUGCGUUGCGUUGUUUCCUUCUUCACUGUUGUUCUAUCCUUGUGUCCUUUGGGCAUUCUGCAAAUCAUAUAUAGUAUGAUUUAAAUUAAAUGAAGUAUAUAUGUAUGUAGGGGUAAAGAUGUAAGAAUUAAUUACCUCUUCUUCAUACAUAUUAUAUAUUUUUUCAUUGAGACUAGUGAAUUAUGUAAAUUUGAUUGUGAUUGACGAUCAUUAGUUGUGGGGUCGAUUGAUAAACUCAUAUUAUAUAUUUUUUCAUACAUAUUCAUAUCACUCUUAUUGUUGGAUGAUAAUUAUUGGUUGAUAUUAUUCAUUGAGCUAUUUGUAAGAUUCAUAUUCUUAUCAUGCCGAUGAGAAAUGGUUCCGGCAAGUGACAUCAUGCAAAGGAUGGAAAAUGAUUACGGCGAGUGGUAUUGUGCCAAUGAGAAAUGAUUCUGGCAAAUGAUAUUGUGCCAAUGGAAAAUUUUUCCGACACGUAUAGAAAUCUCAUCCCCCUAGAUCUCGACUAUCUGACAGAAGAAGUGGGUGUAUACCGAUCUUCGGUCACUGUAUUGAAAUGAUUGUGAACUGAUUUGACUUGAUACAUUUGAGACAUCUUGUAAUAUCAUCCGUGGUGUAAUUGACUGUUUGGGAAAAGUAUAUAUGUUUUAAUUGUUAUGUUGACAUGAUUUAUUUUAUGAUGUAAUUACACUUUUAGAAAAAGAAAACUUCCAUUAUUUCAUUUCUUAUUGUGCAUAUAUGGUUCACUUUAAUAUCUAAUUAUUUUUUAUUUUAUUCUCUCAUCCAUUGUGAGGAUACGUCUCUAAUUUGUAUGCAAGUUAUGAGAGAUGAUGUUACAUGGUGUGGUUCGAGGCGUUAUGAUUUGGUUAGCAUAAUGACGAGAUAAUAGAAAUGGUGAUAUUGAGGAUGUUGACAUAGUAUGGAUAGUUCGUUUGAGGUGUGAUUUGAACAAGGAUGUUUUUAUUUUUUACAAUUUAUUGCGACAACCUUAUGACACAAUGGUACUUAUGAUAAGUCGACAAUUCAAUAUUGAAAGGGUAUAAUAUGGAUGUUAUGAAUACAACUGUAAUCUUGGAAGGAACAAUUGAUUAGAUAAGAGCAUAAUGAUCAUGAUUAGACUACGAUGAAAAGUUGAGGAAUAACAAAAAAAUGAGGGUGAUCAUUUAUGAUGAAGUAUUAGAUGGUAGGACUUGUUAUAAGAUAUGUAUGAAAGACUUUGUUUCUUACCUUUGGAGUGGAGGUAUACUAAGAAGAAUUCAAAUAGUUCGAAUUGGAUUAUACGGUAAUCACAAUGGUAAAAUUUCUUAUGAAGGGAGCCACAAUAAAGACUUAAGUAUAAAAUUGUAUGAGAUUAUGAAGCUAAGUUAAGUACCAAUCUACUAGAACACUUAAAGUAGUGAUUAAGGGUGUGUUUCGUAUGAAGGAAAAUGUUUUCCAUGGAAAAUGUUUUCCUAGAAAAUGUUUUCCUGGAAAACAAGUUGAUUUUUGACUUAUUUUCUCAUGUUUGGUUGGUGAGUAGAAAAUAUUUUCCGAAAAAGAUUUUUAGUGUUUGAUUUAUGAAUGAAAAAAUAUUUUUGAGAAAUAUCUUUUAUUUUUACUAGAGUAGAAAAUAAUUUUUGAAAUUGAAUUUUUUUUUUAAAAACAAACUUAAAUUUUUUUUGGGGCGUGGGGGGGUGUGGUAGGGGGUGGGUGAGGGGGAGUCGAGGGUAGGGGUGAAAAAAUGAAAUUUUGAAAUUAAAAAUAUUUUUUAAAAACAAACUUAAAUUUUUUUNNNNNNNNNNNNNNNNNNNNNNNNNNNNNNNNNNNNNNNNNNNNNNNNNNNNNNNNNNNNNNNNNNNNNNNNNNNNNNNNNNNNNNNNNNNNNNNNNNNNNNNNNNNNNNNNNNNNNNNNNNNNNNNNNNNNNNNNNNNNNNNNNNNNNNNNNNNNNNNNNNNNNNNNNNNNNNNNNNNNNNNNNNNNNNNNNNNNNNNNNNNNNNNNNNNNNNNNNNNNNNNNNNNNNNNNNNNNNNNNNNNNNNNNNNNNNNNNNNNNNNNNNNNNNNNNNNNNNNNNNNNNNNNNNNNNNNNNNNNNNNNNNNNNNNNNNNNNNNNNNNNNNNNNNNNNNNNNNNNNNNNNNNNNNNNNNNNNNNNNNNNNNNNNNNNNNNNNNNNNNNNNNNNNNNNNNNNNNNNNNNNNNNNNNNNNNNNNNNNNNNNNNNNNNNNNNNNNNNNNNNNNNNNNNNNNNNNNNNNNNNNNNNNNNNNNNNNNNNNNNNNNNNNNNNNNNNNNNNNNNNNNNNNNNNNNNNNNNNNNNNNNNNNNNNNNNNNNNNNNNNNNNNNNNNNNNNNNNNNNNNNNNNNNNNNNNNNNNNNNNNNNNNNNNNNNNNNNNNNNNNNNNNNNNNNNNNNNNNNNNNNNNNNNNNNNNNNNNNNNNNNNNNNNNNNNNNNNNNNNNNNNNNNNNNNNNNNNNNNNNNNNNNNNNNNNNNNNNNNNNNNNNNNNNNNNNNNNNNNNNNNNNNNNNNNNNNNNNNNNNNNNNNNNNNNNNNNNNNNNNNNNNNNNNNNNNNNNNNNNNNNNNNNNNNNNNNNNNNNNNGGAAAACAUUUUCCGGAAAAUGUUUUCCUUCAUACCAAACACACCCUAAAUGGUAGAUAUUCGCAUAUUCCACCUGUGAGAUGUCUUUCGGAAGUUAAAUUGAGGAACAACAAUAUUAGUUGAAAUUAAUGGAAAACAUGAUUUGAUUUUGGGCAAAGAUACUUGUAUAAAACUAUGUGAGAAUAUUCAUAGAGACGUGUAUAAUGGUAAAGGAUCGGCAUACAAUUCGUGGACUAAGUUGUGGUGGUUGGAAAUAUUAUAUCGACAAAUAACUAACUCUAUUGAAGUAACCAAGAUUGUCCCAAGUAUUGUUCAGUAUGCUCUCGAUCUUCUAUAGUUUUAUUUUGAUCAUGGAUAUAUUUCAUUUUAUAUAUCUUCUUUCAGAUUUGAAUAUAUUCUGUGACUCUUCUCUGUAUUUGUAAGUAUCUCGACACCCUAAGAUGAUUCUUAGUGGCGAUUACAUCAAUCUCAAGUUAUUAAUAUGAUAGAACAAGACAUUUGGGAUAGACUUCAUUACUUAGUCCACUAGACUUUCUUAUGGACUACUAUUCGAAUAAGCGUUAACAUUGCCAUGUAAAGCAUACUAAUAAUAUUGUUACAAAAUAAUUGCUAGAAAAGUAACCAACUUAAUUACUACUCCCUUCGCCCUUUUAAGUUGUCAUAGUUUUUAUUAAGAGUCAAACAGAUAUGAAUUUUGACUAAUAUUUUAAGGUGUAUUUUUAGGGGAAAAAAUGUAUUUUAUAGUACUUCACUAUAUAAUUUUUGAUUAUCUAAAAUUUAAUUUAAAAUAUCGAAUGAAUGUAAUCUAAUUUAACUCUGAAAAUUAGUCAAAUUAACUCUUGAAAAGCGCAACAUAACAACUAAAAAGGAACGGAGAAAAUACUCCCUCUAUCCAACAAUAGCUGUGUGACAUCUUGCAAAUUGAAAUAACUAUGAAGAAGCUUGAAAUUUGAAAUAGUCAUUUUUGGAAAGAAUUCAAAAUCUGGAAAUUUAGUUAAGUAUGGAAAAAAAUGAGUUUUUGGUCAACUUUGAGCAGUCAUAACUCCUAGCUAAUGUUGUUGCUGAUUCUUUAAGUAGCUUGUCUAUGGGUAGCACCGCCCAUAUUGAAGAAGGAAAGAGAGAGUUAGCAAAAGAUGUGCACAGACUGGCACGCCUGGGAGUCAGACUUAUAGAUUCCGCAGAAGGAGGAAUAGAAGUGACGAGCGGGACCGAGUAAUCAUUAGUGUCAGAAGUGAAAGAGAAACAAGACCAGGAUCCCAUUUUGCUUGAGUUGAAGGCAAAUGUUCAAAAGCAAAAAGUAUUAGCUUUUGAACAAGGGGGAGAUGGUGUAUUGAGAUAUCAAGGUAGAUUGUGUGUACCUAUGGUGGAUGGACUCCAAGAGAGGAUCAUGGAAGAAGCUCAAAGCUCCAGAUAUUCCAUUCACCCGGGUUCCACAAAGAUGUAUCGUGACUUGAGAGAAAUUUUUUGGUGGAAUAGCAUGAAGAAAAGUAUUGCUGAAUUUGUUGCUAAAUGUCCAAAUUGCCAGCAAGUGAAAGUUGAACCCCAAAGGCCCAGUGGUUUGGCUCAGAAGAUAGAACUUCCUGAAUGGAUGUGGGAGAUGAUCAAUAUGGAUUUCAUCACAGGGUUGCCAAGGUCUCGCAGACAGCAUAAUUCUAUUUGGGUAAUUGUCGACAGAAUGACAAAGUCAGCCUAUUUUCUACCGGUAAACNNNNNNNNNNNNNNNNNNNNNNNNNNNNNNNNNNNNNNNNNNNNNNNNNNNNNNNNNNNNNNNNNNNNNNNNNNNNNNNNNNNNNNNNNNNNNNNNNNNNNNNNNNNNNNNNNNNNNNNNNNNNNNNNNNNNNNNNNNNNNNNNNNNNNNNNNNNNNNNNNNNNNNNNNNNNNNNNNNNNNNNNNNNNNNNNNNNNNNNNNNNNNNNNNNNNNNNNNNNNNNNNNNNNNNNNNNNNNNNNNNNNNNNNNNNNNNNNNNNNNNNNNNNNNNNNNNNNNNNNNNNNNNNNNNNNNNNNNNNNNNNNNNNNNNNNNNNNNNNNNNNNNNNNNNNNNNNNNNNNNNNNNNNNNNNNNNNNNNNNNNNNNNNNNNNNNNNNNNNNNNNNNNNNNNNNNNNNNNNNNNNNNNNNNNNNNNNNNNNNNNNNNNNNNNNNNNNNNNNNNNNNNNNNNNNNNNNNNNNNNNNNNNNNNNNNNNNNNNNNNNNNNNNNNNNNNNNNNNNNNNNNNNNNNNNNNNNNNNNNNNNNNNNNNNNNNNNNNNNNNNGGACCUUACCGCAUAGCCAAGAGGAUUGGCAAUGUUGCUUAUGAGUUGGAGCUACCACAAGAAUUAGUAGUGGUUCAUCUGGUAUUUCAUAUCUCCAUGUUGAAAAAGUGCAUAGGCGAUCCUUCAUUGAUCCUACCAACUGAAAGUAUUAGGAUCAAGGAUAGCUUAUCUUAUGAGGAGAUUUCUGUUCAAUUUUUUAUCGCCAAGUUCGUAGGUUGAGAACGAAAGAUGUAGCAUCAGUCAAGGUCCUUUGGAGGAACCAAUUUGUUGAGGAGGCUACUUGGGAAACCGAAGAGGACAUGAAGAAGAGAUAUCCAUAUCUCUUUGAUUCCGGAAGAAAUGCAGAUCAAGGUACUAAUUUCCUUCUUAGUGCUCUUUAAAUUAUAGUGAGCAUGUUGUUGUUGUUGUUUGCAUGAUUGCUUGUUUGGUGUUUGAGUUGAUGUUACACCCUCAGCCUUGUAAGAGUAAUCUCAUUCGAGGACGAAUGUUUCCAAGGGGGGAGAUAUUGUGACAUCUUGCAAAUUGAAAUAACUAUGAAGAAGCUUGAAAUUUGAAAUAGUCAAUUUUGGAAAGAAUUCAAAAUCUAGAAAUUUAGUUGAUUCUGAAUCUGACCGCACUUUCCUCAGGUCGAACGGCUAGAAAUAAGGGAAAGGUCAAUUCAAUUUUCGAUGGAAACGGAAUUUUGCGAAUUCUCCCCCGAACUGGAAGAUCAUUUCGAGAUCUUCGAACAUAUUCGAGGGUUCAAUGUUAUUAUUGUAACUUCGGCCAACACACAAGAUGAGACUUUACCAACCGUGGAGCGGCUUUUUGCAAAAAGAUGAGGGGGAAACUCAGUAAGAUGUCGGAGAAGCGAAAUAUAAAGUAUGGAAAAAAAUGAGUUUUUGGUCAACUUUGAUCAGUUAUAAAUCCUAGCUCAGGAUGAGUUAGGUGAAUUUCCAGUUAUUCUUGAAAAGCUCUUGGAAUGAUAUUUCCAACGCCGCCGAGUUUGCUCGAUUUCGAGUUCGUAUGAGUGAGUUAUGCCCUAUGGAAAUUGGUUUGUUGGCACAGGGCAGUUUAGUCCGUAUUUGUAAGGGUAUUUUGGUCUUUUCCCAAACCUUUUCUUUUGGUUAUAUUAAGGUUUUAGACUGAUUUUAAAUCAGUUUUUCCUUUUUAAAGUGAGAGUUAGGGCUUUUGAGAGAAGAGAAAAAGAAGAGGAGAAAGAAAAGAAGAAGCAAGGAUUCGUCAAGAUCGUCGGGGGUGAUCCCUAUUAAGGUAUGUAAGAUCAUAGUGUUGGGUUGGUUCAUUCCCCCACACGCCAAACUCAUUUUAAUUCCGAGAAAAGAUUGGUUGUGUUUGUUGAAGUUUGUGGUUGUGUUUGUUGAAGUUGUGGUGGCGUUGUUGAAGUUUUCUUGUUGGUUUGGUGCAUGUUUCCGGUUGUGUUUUCGAGUUUAAUCUAUUGUAUGUUGAGGGUUUAAUGGUUAUGAGAGUUUGGGGAAAGAACCUUUGUUGUUGAGAGGGUUUAGAGUUGGAGAAAUUAAGGAGAAAAGUCGGAUUUUCUGGGAAAAAGGGCUGGGGCGUCGCACCAGCCAGCGCGCCCCAAAAGGGGCUCUGAGGUUUUCCCCUUGGGGAAGCGCACCAUGCAGAGCGCCCAGCAGACCCCUCUGAAGUCUGAGGGCAGUUGUUGUUGAAGUUGUUAGUUGUUGUUGAAGUUGUUAGUUGUUGUUGAUGUUGUUAGUUGUUGUUGAUGUUGUUAGUUGUUGUUGAUGUUGUUAGUUGUUGUUGAUGUUGUUAGUUGUUGUUGAUGUUGUUAGUUGUUGUUGAUGUUGUUAGUUGUUGUUGAUGUUGUUAGUUGUUGUUGAUGUUGUUAGUUGUUGUUGAUGUUGUUAGUUGUUGUUGAUGUUGUUAGUUGUUGUUGAUGUUGUUAGUUGUUGUUGAUGUUGUUAGUUGUUGUUGAUGUUGUUAGUUGUUGUUGAUGUUGUUAGUUGUUGUUGAUGUUGUUAGUUGUUGUUGAUGUUGUUAGUUGUUGUUGAUGUUGUUAGUUGUUGUUGAUGUUGUUAGUUGUUGUUGAUGUUGUUAGUUGUUGUUGAUGUUGUUAGUUGUUGUUGAUGUUGUUAGUUGUUGUUGAUGUUGUUAGUUGUUGUUGAUGUUGUUAGUUGUUGUUGAUGUUGUUAGUUGUUGUUGAUGUUGUUAGUUGUUGUUGAUGUUGUUAGUUGUUGUUGAUGUUGUUAGUUGUUGUUGAUGUUGUUAGUUGUUGUUGAUGUUGUUAGUUGUUGUUGAUGUUGUUAGUUGUUGUUGAUGUUGUUAGUUGUUGUUGAUGUUGUUAGUUGUUGUUGAUGUUGUUAGUUGUUGUUGAUGUUGUUAGUUGUUGUUGAUGUUGUUAGUUGUUGUUGAUGUUGUUAGUUGUUGUUGAUGUUGUUAGUUGUUGUUGAUGUUGUUAGUUGUUGUUGAUGUUGUUAGUUGUUGUUGAUGUUGUUAGUUGUUGUUGAUGUUGUUAGUUGUUGUUGAUGUUGUUAGUUGUUGUUGAUGUUGUUAGUUGUUGUUGAUGUUGUUAGUUGUUGUUGAUGUUGUUAGUUGUUGUUGAUGUUGUUAGUUGUGUUGUUGAAGUUAUUGUUGGUUGUGGGACAUGAUUGGGUUGUGUAUUUGAGUUAUAAUUUAUUGUAUGUUGAGAUAUUGAUGAUCCUUAGUGUUUGGGGUUAAAUCCAUUGAAGUAAGGGUGGUUUAAAGUUGAGGAAAAGAGGGAGAAAAAUCGGGUUUUCUGGGGAAAGGGCUGGCGCCUGGCAGAGUGCAGAGUGCCCAGCAGUCCCCUUUGAAGUUGAGGGCUGGUUCUUGGCAGAGUGCUCAGCAAUCCCAUUUGAAGUUGAGGGCUGGCGCCCCGCGCCUCUUAGAGCGCCAAGGACGCCAAUCCUUCCCGUUACCUUAAUUCCCCACUUUUUCAUACAUGUUCCUAGAUAUUAUACCUAUGUUUCCUAGUUGUUUCCAACACUCCAAGGUACUUCUAAAAGUCAAGAACUCAUCCGUAACAUGUGAUCAAACAUCUUGAAUCCAAAAUUCCAAUUCAAGGAGAGUUAGUUAGAAGUCAAGUGAAGUUAGAAAUUAAGAGUUAAGCUUAGAAGUUAAGCAAGUUGUAAAGUUGUUCAAGAGUAUUCAUUGAACAUUUUAACUUCAUUUUUAGACUCAAGUGUCAAGUCAAGCAAAGAGCUUAGAGUUUCAAGCUAAGUAAAGAGUCUCAAGUUUCAAGUUGAGUAAAGAGUUUAAAGUUGAGUUCAUUUUCUCAAAGUUAUUAGGGAACUAUGUAUUCCCAAAAAAGUUUUAAAGAAAUGUCUUUACAUUUAAACAAGGUUGGAAACUGAAAUUUCCAAAGAGUCUUCAGGGCUAGUUUUUGAGUAAUUAUCUCAUAUCAACAGGAAGAAAUAUGUUUUAAAAACAUAAGAGCCAGUACAUUUUUGGGAGUAGUAUCGAGCACCGAAUUGGGGGAGCGUUCAAAGAACCCACAGCCCCCAUAGAACCAUGUUAGCCACCAUGGGUAGAAAAGGAUCAUACUCUUUAGAUGAAUCCUUUUCAUAUUAGACUAGUGGAUCCAUUAGGCAGUUCAGGUCCUAUACCUUUGGCCGGGAAUAGGAUACUCUGGCAGCGUGAGGUCGAUCGAUGUAUCAUCACUAUAGCUCUCAUGUGAUGGUUGUCGGUUAGAGAAACUCCCACAACAGUUAUUGUAUUUCAUACACAAAGAUUAUUGUAUUUUUAUAUACAUCAGUUCAUUGUAUUUCUAUAUACAUUUCAGGCUUAUUGUAUCUUUGUAUACACACAGAGUUUAUAGCAUGUUUUAAACAGUCUUUCUUUAUAUCGCACUUGUUUUAAAUUGCCUUAUAUUGAAAUCGCAUACUCGUACAUUCCAUGUAUUGAUGCCAGUUGGCCUGCAUCUUAUUAUGAUGCAGACGCAGGUACCCAGGAUCAGCAUCCAGCAUGCCGUUGAUCCAGCUGAGCACUCCAGAGUCAGUGGUGAGCCUCCUUGCAUUCCGGAGGACUCAAUUAUUUUAUGUUCUUAGUUUUGUUUUAUUAGGGUGUUGCGGGGUCUGUCCCAACAUCCAUUUCAGUAUUUUAGAGGCUUUAUGGACAAACAGUCAGUCAGUUAGUUUUGAGUCUCUCAUCUAUGUAUAUAUGUAAAUAUUCUAUUUUGAGAUUCGAGUUGCCUUUAUUGCCAUAUUUUAUAAGUUAAGUUGUUUUGUGAUAUUGCAUUGCAUUGAGUUAUUCUAUUGGGUUAGGUUUCCGCUGAGUUAAGAAAGCCAGGCCAAGGGUUCGCUUGGGGCCAGAAAUGGUCUCAGGGUGCCGGUCCCGCCCAGGGUGUAGGCUCGGGGCGUGACAUCUUUUAUUGAACAUUUUUCACUUCGUUUUUAAGGCUCAAGUUUCAAGUUAAGCCAAGAGUAUAGAGUUGAAUUCAUUUUCUCAAAAGCUAAUAGGGAACUAAGUAUUCCCGAAGAAGUUUAUAAAUGUUUUUUUUUUACAUUUGAGUAAGAAAGGAACUUUGUUUUCCAAGAGAGCCUUUGGGCUAGGCUUUGAGCAAUUAUCUCAAACUAAAGAAAGAUGUGUUUAAAACACUUAUGAACUAAAGUAUAUUUUUUGGGAGUAGUAUUGAGCACCGAGUUGGGGACGCGAGUUCAUAUUAACUCAACUCUCCAUAAGAACCAUGUGGCCAACAUGGGAUCUAACGGGUCAUUCCUUCUAGAUGAUCACGUAAGAUAAGCUAGUGGAUCCACUGAGUUAAGCAAGGUCCUAUAUCAGGGCAAGGUAUAGGAUGGUCCUUGGGCAACAUGAGGUAAAACGUUGUAUCAUCACUAGGGCUCAUAGUGGUGGUUGUCGGUUAAAGAAUCUCCCACUAAAGUUAUAUUACUUUUCUACAAGUAAAGUUAAGUUGUUAUUGCUUUAUCCUUAACAACUAAGUUGUUUACACUAUUUUACAAGCUUUAUGUAUUGCAUGUGUCUUAUUGCUUUACAUUUGAGUUCAGACAUUCAUAAGUCGAACAGAGCUAAGGUAAGUGUUCUCUUGUACUUCUUUCAAGCUUAAGUUGUGGUUUAACUUUCCAUCUUGCAUACUCGUACAUUCAAUGUACUAAUUCUAGUUAGUAUGCAUCUUAUGAUGAUGCAGACGCAGGUACCUAGGAUCAGCAUCCAGCACGCCGUUGAUCCAGCUACCAGAGUCAGUGGUGAGCCUCCUUGCAUUUUGGAGGACUCGGUUAUUUUGUUCUAUUAGGAUGUUGCGGGGUCUGUCCCAACAUCUAUCUCAGUGUUAUAGAGGCUUCAUAGACAGUCCGUCAGUCAGUUAGCAUUGAGUCUCUCAUCUAUGUAUAUAUAUAAAUAUUCUAUUUUGAGACAAGUUGCCUUUUGGGCCAGAUUUUAUCAGCUAGGUUGUUUUAUGACCUUUCAUUGCAUUGAGUUAUUUAGUUGAGUUAAGUUUCCGUUGAGUUAAGUAAGCCAGGCCAAGGGUUCGCUUGGGGGCCAGCAUUGGUUUUUGAGUGCGGGCCACGUCCAGGGUGUAGCCUCGGGGCGUGACAAGUUGUCCAUUAUAUUAAAAAUAGUUGUCCAACAAUACUAGUCCAAUUUAAAAAAUCAAAAGAUAAUGUAACUUUUGGAUCUAUUUUACCCUUGCUAUUAAAUAAUAUUUAUCAUCUAAUACAUUUUUCAAAAUAUUAAAUUUAACAAAGUCAAAGGAUAAAAUAGUAAUAUUACUACUAUUAUUUAUUGUUUCUUAAGGGGUGUGUCAAAUUAAUAACGAACAACUAUUGUUGGACCAAGAGAGUAUUAGUUUGUACUUUGGAACAUGUAAAAGUUUUAGUAGACAUACCGUUGACUUUCCUUUUUCCAUUUAAUCUCUAACCUCGAACCAACCUUCAAUUUCUAGAGAUUUGAUGUUUCAACUAAUCACAUGCACAUUUAAUAAGGAUAAAAAUUAGAAACACAAGUAAAAAGAACGGCAACAAGCAAGAAUUGUGAAUGUAAACUAUUAAAUUUAUAGGUUUUGAAUUAUUAAAAAUAUAUGUAGUUAGGGGUGUGCACUAUUUGGAUUAAACCGAAAAACCAAACCAAAUCAAACUGAAUUCUAGUUUGGAUUUUUGGUUUGGUUUCAGAUUUAGAAAAAUAAAAACCAAAAAAACCGAAUUUUAUAUAUAUAUAUAUAUAUAUAUAGAGAGAGAGAGAGAGAGAAUUAAGUUUGGAGUUAACCACUUUUGUCCCUUUUUAGUUACCUUCUAUGUUUGGACAUCUAUAAUUGAUAUACUUUUAAAUAUUGUGUUUUAAGUUUUACUUGUGAUUUAUAUUAAAAAGUAUAUUUAAGAAAUUUAAUAUAUAUAUAUUAUUUUUUUCCAAAUUGCAAAUAUAACUUUGUUAUGUUUCUAAUUAUUGACAUAACCGAUUAACCGAACCGAAAAAACCCAAACCAAAAAAGAGAAAAACCAAACCAAACCAAAUUUAUUUUGGUUCGGAUUGGGGUUACACUUCUUCAAAACCAAAAACCGAAAAUCCAAACCGAAUAGUAUAAAACCAAACCGAAAAAUCGAAUGCACACCCCUAUAUGUAGUAAAUAAUAAUUUUGGAUAAAUACAUGAUAUUUCUAUAGAGAAAAUCUUCAACCUUAAGAUGGUAGGCAAAAAAUGGUAAAAGCUCCUACAUAUUAUUCUAUAUAUCCAACAUAUACAUUCUAUAAUUAUCAAGUCAAAAAUAUAAACCAUUUUUCUGGUUCUUAUGUGUGUAUGUAAUCCACAAAUAAAAAUAAAAAGGAGUAUUACUCUCUCUGCCUUUGAAUUCAAAUAUUACAUGUAAAAUGAAAUAGAAAGAAAAAUAUUUUACCUUUUUCUCUACUUCCAAGCUGUUAAAACCAUGAAAAUUAACAAGGAAAUGAUGAAUGUGAUUAUUCUGAGAGAGCUCACAAUAAAACUUAAAUGCUAAUUAAGGCUACCUUGAAUCUAUAUGACUAUAUAGCCAUACAUACAAUAAGAGAAAAAUGACAAAAGGUUAAGUUGGUCAAUAGCUCACAAUACCAUGUUCUAACAGUUUUAUAUUUCUAUUUAAAUUUUUGAAUUAGUCAACUUUUUUUCUAUUUAGUUUAAGUGAUAAUAAGAAUUAAUAUCUUCAAAAAUAAAAAAUAAAAUCCGACUUACUAAUAGUUAGUUCUAUCAAGAAUUUUUUGAUAAAAAUUGUCCACAUUCCUAAAAAUUUCUCUUUUUUUUGGUUUCCCAUCAUGUGUUUGGAGCCCACAUUGAAGUCCUGACUAAAUCCAGAUCGCGCACUGCAGGGCUCAUUCAAGGAAUACCCAGGACUCGAACUCGAGACCUCUGAUUAAUAAGGAUAAAACACUCCACACUCCUAAAAAUCUUUCCAUUUAGUCAACUAAACAGACUAUGGAUCUGCCAAUAAAAUAAAGGAUCCAUUUAGUAAUUAAAAUUAUUUGUUUAUUUUGAAAUAAUUUUUUUAUUUUAUUUAAAUAUUGGGACAAGGCACAAGUAUCUCCUAGACUAUAACCGAAAUCUCAGAGACACAUCUUAACUAAACCAAGGUCAUAUUACCCUGAACUCUUUAUUUUGUUAAUUUUAUGCACCUUUUGGCUUACGUGGGGCACUUCAUGACUCCAUGUAGUUGAGGCGCGUGGGAGAUGUUUGGAUGCCACGUAAGCCAAAAAGUGUACACAGUUAAAAAAAAAGAUGGGUUUAGGAGGGUAAUUGAACUUUAAUUUAGUUAAAAUAUGUCUCUAAAAUUUUGGUCAUAGUCCAAGAGAUACUUAUGUCUUAUCCCUGAUAUAUUAGUGUAAAUCUAUGAUGAAAUGCCUUCUAAAUUAACCCGGGAAAUGUCAACUGAUAAAUGCUUAUUCUGUUAUUCCCUUGCAAAUAUAUUUAUGGAGACUGUCAGCAAUCAUUUCGAUUUUCGAGUAGAAAGACUUGGUUUUAAUAAUUCAAAAUAAUUAAUCACUUUUAGAUCUAGACUUUGAUUAGACUAAUUGAAUGUUCACGUUAAGGCUGCAAACAUAAAUCAAACAUUACAUAUUCUACAAGAAGUACUAUUGGGUCAUUUGCACUUUUAUCCUUGUUUUAUGCUGCUCUUUAAUUUUUGCUUAGUGGAGUUAUCGUAUCGUAAAGAUGGUUAGACGAAUAUUAUUCAUUGAUCUCAAAUUGUAUAUCCUAACACUUAAUUGAAAUCAUAACUUCACAUAACACGUUACAAAAUCACAAAUGCAAACUUAGCUUAAUAGCUUCCGCUUAUCGAAGUUAACAUGAUAUGAAAGCGCAUGUACGAAUCUGCACUAAUUGAAGAAUUGAUCGUAGUAGCUUAAGGACAUAAAUCUAGUCUAGGUAACAUAAGAGCAUAAAUUGAUCAUAAUCAUCCACUUUAUCUUCAACCUAAUGAUACUCCAUGUAGUUCUCUCAUCCCUCUUCAGUUAAUUGGAUCCGAGAAUUAUGACCAUUUUUUCUAACAGAAUUUAGUGGUAUCUAAAACUACGAUGUCAUCGAACCACUCAAUAGCAGUAAAAUACAUUUAGAAUACUAGAAUUUAGUAGUAGAAGAAGAAGUCGAGAGAAUCGUUGUUGAAGAAUAAGAAUAAAUCCCUCUAUUUAUGGACAAUAAAUGAUAGUGUGAACAUGUGUUUAUAGUGCCUUAUCGGAACCCUUUAGAAAAGUCAAAAGUCAUAACCCUUCGUAAAAAUCACACCUUACGGAAAAAUCACAAAUCUUCACAAAAAUCACAACCCUUCAAGUUAACAAAAAAACUAGAAUCUUAUAUCAGAGAUUAGAGACGAAAUAAGAUUCAUAACUAACAAAAAAACAUGAAAGAAAACUCUCAAAACAUUAAUUUUGAGCAUCUCCAGAACCACGCAGAUGAACUGAGACUGCAAAUGCAUGUGUUGUUUCUUUCUUCAUUGUUGUUCUAUCCUUUGGGCAUUCUGCAAAUUAUAUAUAGUAUGAUUUAAAUUAAAUGAAGUAUAUAUGUAUGUAGGGGUAAAGAUGUAAUAAAUUAAUUACCUCUGUUUCAUCCUCUUCUUCAGCUUCUAAUUCAUACAACACACCUGAUAAAUAGACUUGAAGUCUGUCCUCUCCUGCGAAAUCUAUUAUCUGUUUCUUAAUCUCAAUGGCUGAAUCUUUAACCGCACGGUUCACAAUCAUUAAAUGAAUGGACUUUAAAGUUUCUAUAUCCGCAAAUGCACAAGGGAUCUCCGUAAACUCCUCACAGUAUUCUAGUUUUAAUUCCUCAAGCUUGGGAAAAGUUUCCUUAUCAACUUGCCAUUCUGAAAGGUUGACCAUUUGAAAACUCAAAGUCUUAAGACUUCGAUAGAUGUCCUCACUUGCAUACCACUUAUCCUCCACGAAAUCAGAGAACAUAAUCGCCAGAAUUUCAAGCUGAGGCAAUGCCGUGAUUGCUGACAACAAAGCAGGUCUCACGUGAACACCAAACAACCGUAACUCUUUCAAGCCGCUAGGGAAGUGAUAUUCAUUGGGAUAAACAUAAUCAAUCCAUUCGUAUGCUAUAAAGAGUGAUUCAAGUUUGUUAAGGACAUCAAACUUGGGAAACCAAUCAUCGUGUGUUAGAGGAUCCUUGGGUAUCCAGAUGAUGCACUCAAGGUGUUGAAGAUUUGGGAACUUCUUCAGAGCAUCAUUCGUGCCUUCAAAAUAUGAGAUAUCAACAUGGGAUAAAGUUGUCAGCUUUGAAUUCUCACCUUCCAAUAUUCUACUUUGGAUAUUGUCCUCCUCCUCUUCCUCUUCAAAGAAAGAACUCAUGUCAAUUUUCACAUGUUUCAGCUUUGACAGUUUUAAUAUUCUGGGCAGUAAUACCAUGGUGGAAGAUCCAGUAUUGAUCAACAGAGUUUCCAAAUUCUGGAGGUUCAACCACGACACUGGGAUAGCUUUUACACCUUGAGUCCGAAUCCUUAAGAAUCUCAAAUGAAAUAAGGACCCUAUUUCUUCCAUUAAAGAAUCUUCCAAAACAAUGCUAUCCAGUUGCAACACUCUAACGAGUCCAAAGGGUCUUGUGUGACAGACAUACCUGGAGUUAAGAAGCGAACCGCUAACUUUCAAAGAUAUGAGAUGCUUACUACCAACUGAACAAUUUUUAGAAUUGAACAAAACACAUUUUUUGUGGAGUUCGCCCGCCUCAGUAUGAAUGGCUAGACGAUGGUGUAGGAAAUCAGAAGCAUGAAAUCGAGCACCUGGAUUGAUUAACUUGAGAAACUUUUCCUUUUUCGCUUUUACUGAACAAAAAUCGUGCACAACAUCAUGCACAUAGCAAACCUUAAUCCUAACAGAAAAAAACUUUCUCUUCCAGUUGAGGAUAUGAUCCACCAUUAUCAAGUUACUGGAAAUUAAAGCAUCCAAGUAACUUUGAGUUGCUUCCUCUAAACUACACUUGGAUGGGAUAUCAUGAUCCACCAACCCUUCAGCCAUCCACAACUGCAUCAACUUAGAGACUGGAGUUCGUUUGCUCUUUCGAGAUUUUGCAAAGUAAAGCAACAACGGCUUCAGGUGGUAUGGUAAAUGGUCAUAACUUAAUUGCAUAACCAAAUUGAUGUUGGCAAAAAUAAAGGAAUCCAAAUUAUGUUGAAUUUUAAGCCACAAAUCCUUUUCCUCUUUCUUUCCUUUCCUUACUCUAACAAUUACUCCAGCAAUCAAAACAACAGCCAAUGGAAGCCCUUAACAUUUCUCAACUAUUUGGUGUCCAACUUCCGACAGUUCAGCAGGGCAGUUUCUUUCUCCAAAUACCCUUUUUUCAAAUAACUCCCAACUUUUUUCAGUUGUUAAAAGUUGAAGGUGGAGAGGAUCACUAUGGCAUUUAACUUUCAAACCUACCUCACUACUUCGGCUAGUUAAGAUAACUCUAUUUCCUCUCUCAACCUUUGGAAAACAUGCUAUUAACAUCUCCCCUGUUGCAAUAUCCCACACAUCAUCCAAGACGAUGAGGUACCUUUUAUCGUACAGUGCUACUCGUAGCUUUUCAGCAAGGCCAUCCUCACUUUCUUUUCCUCCCGAGCCAGUAACUUGCUGAAGAAUCUCCCCCAACACCUUUGACUUGUUAUACUUUUGGGAAACAGUGCACCAAGCACGAACAUUGAAAUGACUAGCAACUAACGUAUUGUUAUACACUUUUUUGGCCAAAGUAGUUUUACCGAGUCCUGGCAUUCCGACAAUGGAAAUGACAUCAAGCUCGGAUUCAUGUUUAUCAAGGAGCUGGUCAAUCAUCUUGGCUUCAUCUUCUUCAUGACCAACUGUUACCUCAACAAAAGAUGACGAGGUUGACUCAAUUGGCUCGUAGGAAGACUUUGCAUCAAGGGGAUCAUCCCCAUUCUUAUCUUCCAGCUGUAAACAUGUGACUUCUGCCACGAUAAGCUUGAUCUUAUCGGUGACCCUCGGAAGUGAGAAGAGGAGAUGUGAGAGAGCUUUAUCUCUGAUAAGAAUGGAAUUAAUGACAUGUUCUGCCUCAUAUGCCACAUCUAAAGCACGCAACCAACAAUCUUUAACUACUCCACUAGUACUGUCAUCCAAUGUUUGCCUGACUUUCUUGAAAGACGAUCUUAUGAAUUCAAGGCUUUCUUUUACCAUCCCAAUUUCUUUCUUUAUGAGAGAAACUGAAUAAGCAUUGGAAAUGAGCAAAUCAUUUAAAUGUCUGAGUAGAAGAUUCAUGAAGAGGAAACCAUCAUCCAUAGGAAAGCAAAGUUGAGAUGACUGAUCCGGGGCUUUCAAAAAAUUCCGUUUGAUAUCUCCCUUCAUUUGUUCAAUUUCUUGCAACAAGUCUGGAGCUGAAAAGUCCGCUUCAUUGAUAUUAUUCUCAGAGCUCUCCUCCAUGAGAAUAGAUAUCUUCCUUGUAAGUAGUGCGACAUGUGCCAACAUAUCGUUCAAUUUGUCAGGAUGGAUAAAGCGCUUUGGUAUAUUGGUGAGAAAGAUCAAUAGGAACUCGAUCAUGACAUUAAUACUUUGAGUUUGAGAGUAAUUGACAGCUACUGCACCUACCAUGUGUCCUUGGAGAUGAAUGAGAUAAUUUUGAAGAAUCUUUGGAGAUGCUUUUAGGAUUUGCUUAACAAACCUUUUUAGUUCAGUUGACCUUGAUUCUUUCGUGAGCUUAGAAGUAGAAAUGUAUAGAACCUCCAGCUCAAGAGGGAUUAUGUCGAUCAGUAGAGAAGAUACUUUGGAAGAGCAUUCAGAGACUUUUUUGUUGUAAUAGUAAUCAGAACGUGAUAUAUAGUUUCCAGUCCAAAUAUCAAAAUAGAAUUGUAGAAAUGUAUGGGCGAUGAAUUGGAAGCGAGGAAAGAGAUAUUGAGUAGUAGUUGUUUUGUUGGCCAGGAGGAUAGGAUAGAAAUCUGUCAGAUGACGGAAUACUUGGCGAAGAAUGUUGCAGUCAGUUUGACGACCGAGAUAUUCAAAGAAAUAAAAAGAAUAGUUUGGUAGAUCAUAUUGGACGUUUGUGAAGAGGUAUUCAAACAUUUUCUCCUCUGUGCUCAUAAUUGCUACAUUAUUCUUCAAACUUAAAUAACUUUCCAUCUCUUCCUGCAGCAGAGGGACAACACCAUCCAUGUUGUAUUUCUCUAGAAUUACUUCAUCAUUAUCUUCAUAGAAAAGUGACCAAAUCAUACCACACAACUUGUUUAUUUUCUUGGUCAUCCUGUAAUAAAAGUCAUCAUCCAAACUUGAAUCCCCAAACAGGACAAAUGUUCUUAGGAAUCUCAGUUCCAUUCUUAGCUUUUCAACGGCAUCCAAUUUUGAAGCAGUGAACUCUUCUUCUUCAUUCUUUAUUUUCUUCAACCCAUUCAAGAAAUCAUCAAUAAGAUUCCUGAUUCUGCUUCUUUUUUCCUCAAGUGGCACCUCCUAAAUUAAAACAUAGUCAUACGUAAUUAAAUUAAUCCAUGAAUAUUUUGGUGAUAUGAUUUCCGAAUGAUUUUUUAAAAAAACAUUUAUGGGACCCUCCCUAAUAAGUUGGGAGGAGUAAUAUGUAUAACCUCAUCAUGAUCCACAUACUUUUGGGCUACACAAUCAAUCGAAAAGUCAAAUAUGACUUAACAGUUCACACUUCUUAAUGAGUUUUAAUAUAUUGGGGUACCCUUUUAAUUGUUUAUCUUUUUAGCUUCGGUCAUUAAAUAUACUCAUUCACAACUUUUCAUGUACAUAUUCUCUCUUCCUUCAUAAAUUUGACAAAAAAUUAUUAAUUUACAACACUUCUGUAUUUUAUCAUCUUAUAAUUUUUAUAUAAUUUUUUAUUUAUUGGUCAUUGGGCCAAACAUGCAACACACAUUCUCAAAAUAAUUGUUACAAAAAUAUGUAAAACUAAUAGUAAUUGCUAGAAAAUAAGUAUAAUUUAUAUGUAAAACAUAAUUAUUACUAAUUUGGAGCAUGUAAAAGUAUUGAUAGACAUACCGAUGACUUUCCUUCUUUUUCCAUUGAAUCUCCAACCUCGAACCAGCCUUCAAUUUCUAAAGAAUUGUUUUUUCAACUAAUGAUCACGUGCAUAUUUAAUUACGAUAAAAAUUACGUAGAAGAUAGUAAUCACAUGCACAAGUAAAAGGAAAGGCAAGAAGCAAGGGUUAAGAAUGUUAAUUAUUAAGUUUAUAGGUUUUGAAUUAUAAUUAUACCUAGUAAUUUACUAUUUUAAGUAAAUACAUGAAUUGGUGAAAGUAACAAAUAGCAUGCCAAAAUGUAUAUUUUCUGUUCAUUAGACUUGAUAGGUUACUCAGAGUGGCACACAAGUACACACACUAAUAAAUUUUCAAGAAUUUGGACCAUAAUAUAUACUCCCUCUAUUCCAUAUUAAGACAAUGCACACAUAUAUAUUAAGAAAAACAUUUAAGAACAUAACUUUUACUAUUGUCUUUUAAGAAAUCAUAAAUAUAACUUUGUAAGUAGUGUAAUUUAUCUCAUAAAAAAUAUAAAACUCCAAUAAAUGAAAGGGUAAACAUGGAAAAAAAUUCAAACAUCCAUUUAAACUAACAAUUCAAUUAUUCUGAAUAAUGAAAAAAAUCUAUAAUUUUUUACUUAAUAUGAAAUUGAGGAAGUACUAGAGAGACGGAAUCUAAAUUUAUACAAACCAUGAGUGUGUUUGGUAUGAAAGAAAUUAUUUUCUUAAAAUGUUUUUUUUUAACUACUAGGUGGAUUUGUUAUUUUAGUUUUUAUAUGUUUGGUAUAUUUUCUAAAUAUUUAAGUAAUCGAACAUGACAACAUUAAAAAAUAUAAAUAUUUCAUCCUAAACACACUAUAGUAAAGUGUUUCCCGUAUCAUGAUAUAUUAAGAUCUUAAAUGUAAAAUCUAUAUAAACUACGUUAAAAGGUCUCUUCAUAUCAUGAUUAGUGACCUUAAUCUUCCUUUACAAACUUGGACCCUAUAUGGGUGUGGUUGGUACAAAGAAUUUCGACUUUCGUACUUACUAAACAUGAGAAAAUUGAAUGAAAAAAAUGAAAAACAGUGUAAAAAGGGUGUGGUUGGUAAUAAGGAUUUCGAUUUUCUAAUUCUUAUUAUGUAUGCUUCUUUCAAAUAAAAAAUACAUGUAAAAUGAAAUCUAGAAAAAACAUUAUAUUAUACCUUUUUGUUUACUUCCUUCCAAGCUAAUAAUUCCUCUCAAAUGGUAGUUUGCCUUGUUGCAGAUUUACAACACUUUUAUUGAGAAAAUUGAGUCAGCAAAAAGCAAGCAGCAAAUGUUGAAGAACCUAAUUCACUUAUUGUUAGAUCUGCAAAUGUGAACUUUCAGUUAGUUUAUCAAAGUCUAGAUCUGAAAUUAAUAGAUAAGUUUAAGUUUACUACUCCCUCUGUUU
rnacentral:lncRNA from 1 species